rnacentral:lncRNA from 1 species
UCUGUAAUAUCAGUACAACCUGCUUGCCAGUGGGCAAGAAUCUUCUGAUGUGGUGCCAAACUCGUCACUACUGGAGGACAAAUAUGAUGACAUGUAGUUUUAAGUUCCGAUAGUUCUGGAGUGGAUUGGUGUGUGUGUCCCUGCAAGCUUUCUCCUACAGGCUGGAGUUCUAGUUCUGAUGCAGCGUUUGUGUUUCCCUUUUGAACUGUGUCGUGAAACCAAUGUUCACUCGAGAGGAAUGUAGUUUUCAACUGAGUUGUUGAACCUUCGCAAAUUGGAGGGUCAAUGGUCUGUGGAGACUGGAGAGGAACGUGGCUUUCGCUGUGGCGAUCGUAUUUUGUAAUUGUUGAAUCUGCAGUAUUUUGGUCUUUAGCAAUGAAAUAUGGAGAUGCACGUAGUUUUUCUAUGACGCGAAAAGGGAGGGAAAAACUGGUAAUUUCAAAUGGCCAUAUAUCUAUUAUUAUGAGUUUAAUGGCUGUCUAGUCUUGAUGCACACAGAGAAUGGAAGUCGUAUUGUCUUCCUCAAAAGUUGGUACCAACAUCGUUCAAAAUCUGCACACUGCAGCUAAGCCUGGGCAUAUUACCUGUUACUCGAACCUGAAAAUUCCGGACUCAGACCCGAAUUCCGAAUUUGUAGCACCCGAUGUCUAGUUUGGAUAGUAAAUGCUACCUGAAUUUAGUUUGGAUAAUUCAGGUAGCAUCACCCGGUGCCGUGCCUGAACUACUCGAAACAGUGUCAGUGUGUGUCACCUAGCCCUUAGCGUGUGUGGAUGUUUUAGUCCAACAUGAAACACACGGACAUGGGCCACGCCCACGCGGCCCAUCAACAAUUCAAUCUGCUUCCUCCAUGGACCAUGGCUCUGUCCGUAAGGUGCCUUCCCUAGUCUAGCAUUCGACAUCUCGGCCACUCCUCAGGCCCUAGCAGCCUCCAAUCCCUCCAUAACCUAGCUGCCACCCGUCGCUCUCCUUGUGCCCGCCUGCGGCCUGCCCGGAGGCUGGAUCGCCAGACGCCGGACGCCAGAGCGACCUCGAGUGCCUGGAGGCCGGACCACCGGAGGCCGGAGCGACCAUGACGGCGUCACGGCGCUCGCUGUCGCUGCCUCCUUCGUCCACCUCUGUCCUCUGAUCUCUACUCCUCACAACCUCACUGGUUAAGGGAUCGCGAGUGCUGAGGUUGAUGUCGCUGUUCGGGUAAAUUGGGUAUACCCUAAACUCGUACCGGAAAUUGCGGGUAGCGUUUUAGUAAGGCUGUGAUCGAGUAACAAAAUCUAUUAUCUGAAUUUAUCAAAACCCGAAUUACCCGAACCGAACUAAUCGGAUAACCCCGCCCAGUUUUGACUGCAGCUACAGACAACUAGUUUUUUCUCAAACAUGUGUGAGUACAUAUCAUUUUAAUAAAGAGAGAAAGAAACAACAUAUUACAAAGGAGGCCAACACAGCUUUCCCCCGCAACACACACAUACACUCAACACAACACCACAUGUAGGCUACAACCCCAAGAACACCUUAACCCGGAUCAACCACAUAAGUUGAGAGCAAGGACAAAUCUUUUGCUUCAACCAUAUACCACAACCUAAAAUCAUCUUCAGCCAAAUGAGGGUCUUGAAAAUACUAGACCGCACACCAUUGAACACAGUCAUUACGGUGGCGCCAAAGACACCAAGCCACGUCCUCACCAUAUUACUCCCCUUCCCCUUACCUACGACCAAUGUUUAUAUAACUCUCUAAUUGUUUUUUUUUUUCAUUUUACCCUCCUCUUUUGAGUUGUUCAAUUUAACAUGAUUUUUCUUUUUAUUUCUUUAUGUAUAAAUUUAGUUUUCAGUUCAAAUUUUUUGUUAGUAGCUAAUAGCAUAAUGUAGUUUAAAAAAUAAAUUUUAUUUUUAUAAUUACUUCUAUAGGUUAGGGAUCUGAUAAGACAAAAAAUUUAAUGUUACAAAACUAAAUAUAAAAUAAUGAUGAAAAAUUAUUAACAUAUUUUUCAAUAUAAGGUAUAAUGUCUUUAAUCACCUCAAAAAAUAUGAAUUUAAAAUUUAAUUUGUACAUGUAGAAACGAAAAGGACAAUCUUAUUAGAGAGAGAUUUUUCUUUUUUUUUUUGUUUCUCUAUGUAUAAGUUAAAUUUGAUGUUUGUAUUUUCUAGGUGAUUGAGAAAAUCAUAAAUUAUGUAGAAAAAUAUGUUAAUUUUUUCAUUAUUUAAGUUAUUAUUUUAUUUUAAGUUUAUAUUAAAUUUUAUCUUAUUAAAGUUAUUAUUUUAUCUAAUUACUAACCUAUUAAAAUAAUUAUAAAAAUAUAAUAUAUUUUGCUAAGCUACAUUAUGUUGUUAGCUACUAACAGGUAAAAAUUUGAACUGAAAAUUCAGUUUGAAAAUGAAAAGGACAAAUUUCUAUUAAGGUGUAAACUGAACGGACUCAAAGAAAUGGAGGGAUAAAAUGAACUGAAAAAUAGUUUAGGUAGUUACACGAACAUUGUCGAGAGUAAUUUGGAGUUUUUUCUAGAAUAAAAAAAUUGUCAAAAUAAGCUAGGUCGAUUCUGUUUUUUAUACAAAUAACAAGGGUAGGAAUAAGUGAGGCUGGAAUGAAGUAAAAAAACAUAUCGUUUGGGCGUCGGUUUUAGCUUAUUUUAACCAAUAGCUUAUAAGCUACACAGACAGAUCAAAUAUCUUCAGUACAUAUGAGCUUUAUAAUAUUAUAUAGAAUUUAGAAGAAUUAGUUUUAUUUUGACAUAGAACACACAAAAAAGCAAGCAUUUGAAAAAAAGAAGGUAGGCCAAGCCGUGACCGUAAUGCUUUCCUUUUUUGUGCUACCGUUUUCGAGCCACUUUCGACGAUCCGAGCAGAGCAAGCGAAACCACUACGUAACCGGGUACAUGGAUUCUAUUCCAAAAUUUUGCCAUCACAAGAAGCCUUAGGAGGCAGGAUACAUGGAUUCAACCAAAACCUUUGCACCAGGCUGACCUUGCCUUAAUCUUUGAUCCGAGAUGCAAUAAUGAAUAGAUACAUAACACAAGUUGAGCAGUCUUUUAUGUUUUGUAUUUCCUUUUUACAUAAGUUUCGAACACCAUGUCAUCACAUAAAACAAGAGAACUGACAUCCUUAUCACUCAUUGAUGCUCGUUCAUCUACUUCUGCAACAUUUAUAUGACAUUCAUUCUUAGCUACAGAGAAAAUUCGUUGCUUUCGAACAAGCAUCUGCCCGUAGGGAGUGAAAAAAAAUCAAUCUGUCUGCCAAGCUGCGCAAUCGACAUUUGAGGCAAGGCUACAACCAAUAAAUAAAGAACCUAAAGGCUCAGCAUAUCCCUUGUCAGCAGGGAAAGGAAAAAUGGACCUGCAGCAUGUGGUAUUGCCACAAUGUACUAUCAGGAUGCAGCAGCUGUGUACUGCACCAUGUCAUGCUCAUAUAUUGUAUCUGUUAUCCUCGAUGGUGGCUAGUAUCGGAGCACAGAUCUCCCAAGGAUGUUCUUAAAUGGAAGUGGACUCCUGCAGAAACCACACAACACGUGAGCUAUUGCUGUAGAAACUGGGGUUAAAAAUGAAACAUAAAGCAUCUAUUAGAGGUUUAUCAUACCAGUUAUGUGAAUCAAAGUUGUUGUUUCUGUUAUCCCCCAGAACAAAGACAUAGCCUUCAGGUACAGUCUGGCCAAGCAACAAUAAAUCAGGAUUCAUUGGAUGAAAAUAGUAAACUUAAUAUGUGAUCAACACAUAACAGGUGCAGGGUGCAGCCUAUAGAACUAUCCACCAACAUAGAACACAUGAAUAAUUUUGAGGCUGCAACCUAUUUAUAACAAUUCAAAAGUAAAGAACUGAUGCCACAUAACUAUGAUGGUGUUAAGUAGCCACAUAACUAUGAUGGUGUUAACUUAACAGGACUACAAAAAAUGGUUCUUUAGUAGCAUGUGGUAAGAUUAGUUAUUAUACCAGCGGAUCCAUUUCAUAGUUGGUUGGUUCCAGCACAAAUUCCUCCUCCUAAACUACUCCAUUAACCAACAAGUUACCAUCACGUACCUAUUAAAUACAAGGGACACUGAUAAGCUCAUAUACUCCCCAAAAAAGUAAUGCCACAAUGAAGGAAAAUAUAGAGACGGUUACUACCAUUGGGAUAAAAGCUUACUUCAACGAUGUCCCCGCCCUUAGCCACAACUCUCUUGAUGAACACAUCACCUAAGUUGUAGCCCAAUGUCUACAAAGAUUGUUCUGAUUAUAAUAAGAAGCCCCGAAGAACUACAUAAGACAAUGGAGAAACAAUGUAUCACACCUGAAGUACUGGAGGUGCACGAAAUAUCACGAUGUCCAAAAUUUCUGGCUCCCGAAAAAUGUACGAAACCUACAGCCACAAUAGGGGCUAGACAUUAGAUGCAUGUUCACCAAUAGAAGCAAAUGAUACAUUAUAAAUUCACAUAUGUAUUCAUAUAACAAAGGAAACCAAAAUAAAACAUACUACCUUCUCAGCAAGGAUCCGGUCACCAACAUCAAAUGUUGGGAACAUUGACCUGGAUGGGAUGGACCUCGGUUCAGCUAGGGAUGAUUUAUAGAGCAGUGACACGGUCACGGCGGCGAAGAUUGUCUUUGCAUCAUCUGAGCAUGAGCUCACCCACUUUGAGAGCCAACCAGUCUUCCUUCUCACCCCUGCACCAGCAGGAAGACUAGCCGGUGCACCGGACAGUCCAGUGCCCCCUGCCGACCGUUGGUGCGGGCCACGUGUCGCCUGCGGAUUGCGUGGCCGACCGUUGCGCUGGCGACCGUUGGCUCACCGGACAGUUCGGUGUACCACCGGAUAGUCUGGUGAAUUAUAGCCGUACGCCACUGAUCUUUUCCCGAGAGCGGCCUUUUCACCGGAGACCAGCCUGGCGCAUCGGACACUGUCCGGUGCACCACCGGACAGUCCGGUGUGCUAGACUGAGUUGAGUUUUGGCUGCAUCGAGCCAAGUCUUUUUGGUUUCUUUUCUUCUUCUUUUCUCACUAUUUCUAGCACUUAGAUAACUUCAUUAGUAUUCAAAAACAAAUGUACUAAGUCUAGAAACAUACCUCAUGUCUUGAUUUGCACUUUUUCAAUCUUUGGCACAUUAGGACUUAAAGAAUAUGUGUUAAGCACUUAAUCACCAAAACAUUAUAGAAAUGGCCCAAAGGCACAUUUCCCUUUCAAGUACAUGACACAUGAAAGUUCGGGUAAUUCAGGUAUUUCGGGUACCCGAUUAUGAUAUCCGAAUUACCGAAAUAAAUUUGGGUUUUGCAAGUUGCUAUCCGAAAUUCUCGUACAAAAUUUGUGUUCGGGUAUUCCGGGUUCGGGUUUUUUUGCCUAGCCCUAAUAGAGAUUCCCAUGCAAUACAAUUCACAUUGGAUGUAGGGUAUACGCUCCGGCGGCCCGAACCACUCUAACUCUUGUGUUCUUGUGUCCUUCAAGCUAAUCAGGCAAAUCCCUAUGCCUCCUUCUGAUCUUAGAAUUAGGCGGGUGCAUUUCGCAACCCGGCUAGAGUUUUUUCUAAAACGGCUGUAAUGGGCUUAGGCCUACUUUACUCUAUUAUUAAUAAAACUCGCUAUCAUUUCUAGCGUUAGUGUUUUACUUCUAUAAUGGUAUCAAAGCUAGGUUAAGGUUUUUCUUCUCCCACUCCCAGCCGCUAGUCGCUCGCUCCUUCUCCGCGGUCGUCGGCCUUCCCCUGUCCUUGCCACUAGGGCCCUCACCUCCCUUGUUGGUGUGGUAUGGAGUGUGGCCGCCUCCUCCCGGUUCCUCCCCUCCCACGACGACGCCUCUACUCGCACCCAUGAAUGUGGCAAUCGCGCCCGCUCUCGACCGACGUGCGGACUUUGCCACCCUCAUCUCCCAUGGUUGUGGAGUACGUGCCUCCCGCCCACCCCACAGUCGUGCCAGCGACACUUCUCACAUCCCACCUCGUGAUGCCAUCCCCCUUGCCCCCCUCAACGGCGACGUGACUCCUGCCCCUGUCCCCACCGUCCUCCCCUAUGACGGCGCGCCCACCACCCUUGCCAGUAGCAAGUGCACAGUCCCCGCGCACGGCCAGGCUGCCUGCAUCACGAGCAGUGGCAGAACUACCUCAUCUAGACGCUCUCCUCCAUAGCGCCCAAUGACCAAUACCGACCCACUUUGUCAUGCCUGUCAACUUGGGUGUCACACUCGGUUACCCUUGAAAGGGAAAUAGGGUCAAACCUUUUCCUAUAUGAUUUUGGUGGUUGAAUUGCUCAACACAAAUUAUAGGACUAACUAGUUUGCUCUAGAGUAUAUGUUCUACAGGUACCAAAGGUUCAACUCAAAACAAUACAAAGAUUAAAAAGGGUUCAAGAAGAAAGGAGCAAAGGAAACCGAAGUGCUCUCUGGUCUGGGGCACCGGACUGUCCGGUGUGCCACUGGACAGCGUUCGGUGCACCAGGGAGGAACGACUUCAAACUCUUCACCUUCGGGUUUCCCAGGCGCACCUCCGCUAUAAUUCACUGGACUGUCCGGUGAGCCAGCGGAGCAACGGCUAUCUGCGCGCAACGGUCGACUCUGACAGUGAACAGUGCAGCACAGUACACGCGGCAGAAGUCAGAGCAGAUGGUCAGAGGGGCACCGGACUGUCCGGUGUGGCACCGGACUGUCCGGUGCCGCAUGAGGACAAAGCCUCCAACGGUCGACCAGCUCCAACCCUGACGAACAGGAUGACGUGGCGGCGCACUGGACACUGUCCGGUGGCGCACCGGACUGUCCGGUGCACCCAUCACCAGCAGCCAUCUCCAACGGCUACAUUUUGGUUGGUGGCUAUAAAUACCACCCCAACCGGCCACUUCAAGGUGUGGGAGCCCAAGCAACAUUCCAAGUCAUAUAGUUGACAUAUCCAAGCCCUCCCAACCACCUCUAUUCAUUGAUUCAUCCUAUACACAAGAUUUAGACCACUACACCCACACAAGUGCCACAAAAGUGAGAGCAAGCAAAAGAAAGCUUCUCAUGUGAGUUUAGCUGUAGUGCCUUGUGAGAUUCAAUGAGAGAAAGUGUGUGCUACAUCUUGCGUUCAUUUGUGCGUGGAGUUUUGACUCCCAUUGAACUUCCUCCAAAGUUUUGGAGGCUUGUAAAGCUAGCAAGAGACACCAAAGUGUGUGGUGAUCCUUGCGGUGUCUUAAGUGAUCCUUGAGAAGAAGAAGAGCUCGCCGAUCUUGGGGAUCGGUUGAGAGAUGGAAAGGGUUGAAAGAGACCCGUCCUUAGUGGACUCCUCAACGGGGACUAGGCCUUCGAGGGCCGAACCUCGGUAAAACAAAUCACCCGUGUCUCUUGUGUUUAUUGCUUGUGAUUUGUUUGUUCUUUCCCUUUCUAAGUUCUCUUGCGCUACUCUUUGCUAAUAUUAUUUUGUGUUGCUUCAAGAUAAAUUCUCAUUUAGAGAAGCAACUCCUUGCAAGAAAGAACUUGUGCUUAUCUUCUUCUUAUCUAAGCCCUCUUGCAUUAUUCUCCACUAACAUUUCUAGGAGUAUUGCUAUUGAUUAAAAUUCCGCACUCUUUGAAAACAAUACUCGUUGCAAGCAAAUGACUUAGUUUUAUACUCCGAUAAUUGUGUGUCUUGUUCUAACCACUAAUCAAGGGAUCUAGUUGGGGGAUAAAGUUUUAAUUUUCAGGUUUCGCCUAUCCAUCCCCCCUCUAGGCGACUUUCAAUUGGUAUCAGAGCUAGGCACUUCAUAUUGAGUCUAACAACUCGAAGUGAUGGCUCGAAGAAGAUCCCAAAAGAACAAGAAAACCAAGGAGAACAAGGAGGUAACUCUUGGGAUAUUACUUUCUGAUUGUUCUAAUUAUGAUUCAUGGGCUACUAGGGUGCUAAAUGCUUUUAGAACCAUAGAUCUCCGAUUAGAACAAAUCUUAUACAAGAGUAUUAUUGAGAGCACCUAGAGGGGGGUGAAUAGGUGAUCCUGUAAAACUUAAAACUUAACACCACAAACUUGAUUAAGAGUUAGAACACUGAAAUCAAGUGAGUAGAGAGGAGAGCUCUUGUGAAUCACAAAGGACACAAUAAAGACAAGCACAAGAGACACGAGGAUUUAUCCCGUGGUUCGGCCAAGUACAAAACUUUGCCUACUCCACGUUGUGGCGUCCCAACGGGCGAGAGUUGCACUCAACUCCUCUCAAGUGAUCCAAUGACCAACUUGAAUACCACGGUGUUCUUCUUUACUUUACUCUUUUCCCGCUUGCGAGGAAUCUCCACAACUUGGAGUCUCUCGCCCGUACAAUAAGAAUCUCAAUGAAGCACUAGAGUAAGGGAGGGAAGCAACACACUCAAAACCACAGCAAAUACGCACACACAAGAUCAAGACUUGAGCUCAAGACAAUAUCUCGAGGUUCUCACUAGAACAGAGCUCAAAUCACUAAGAAUGUCGAACAAGUGCGCAAGAAUGAAGUGUGAGUGAUCAACAAUGCUCAAGGAAUGCUUGGUGUACUCCUCCAUGUGCCUAGGGGUCCCUUUUAUAGCCCCAAGGCAGCUAGGAGCCAUUGAGAGCAUUUCAAGAAGGCAAUUCUUGCCUUCUGUUGCCUGGCGCACCGGACAGUCCGGUGCACCACCAGACACUGUCCGGUGCGGAUUUCUUUCCUUCUUUGGCGAAGCUGACCAUUGGCGGUUUGGAGCCGUUGGCGCACCGGACACUGUCCGGUGCACACCGGACACUGUCCGGUGCACACCGGACAGUCCGGUGCCCCUUCUGACCGUUGGCUCUUGCCACGCAUCGCAUGCGGAUUAUGCGGCCGGCCGUUGGCCUGGCCGACUGUUGGCUCACCGGACAGUCCGGUGCACCACCGGACAGUCCGGUGAUUUAUAGUCGUACGCCGUUAAUUGCUUCCCGAGAGCAGCCAGUUGACAGUCGCCGGCCUGGCGCACCAGACACUGUCCGGUGCACCACCGGACAGUCCGGUGCACCCAGACCGAGCUGUCUAUGGCUGAACAAAGCCGUCUCUUUUCCAACUUGAUUUCUCCUGUUUCCAGCACUUAGACACAAUACAUUAGUCUCCAAAACAAUGUACUAAGUCUUAGAAACAUACAUUUUUACUUGAUUUGCACUUUAUCCAUCACUUUGCAUAGAUUAACAUUAGUCCACUUGUGUUGGCACUCAAUUACGAAAAUACUUAGAAAUGGCCCAAGGGCACAUUUCUCUUUCAAUCUCCCCCUUUUUGGUGAUUUAUGCCAACACAAUAAAAAGCAACUAAAGAAAGUGCAACAUCAAUACAAAUGAGAAUUCAAAAUUGUUUUGAUUCAAAUUUGGCAUAUAUGGAUCAUUCUUUGCCACCACUUGGUUUGUUUUUGCAAAUCAAACUCAAUUUCCUAUCUCUAAGUCAAGCACACUUGUUGAAACAUAAAGAGAGAUAUUUCAAGAGAAAUUGAUCAAAGAUUUCAAAAACUCCCCCUUUUUCCCUUAAUCAAAUAUUCUCCCCACAAGAGAUCAACUUUCCACAAUAAGAGACAAACAAGAGUAUUUUGACAAACAAAAACUCUAACUCUACUUUUUCAAAAUUCUCAAGUGGUAGCUGAUCCAUUUCUUGCUUUGGCCUUAUUUUCUCCCCCUUUGGAAUCAAGCACCAAAACGGGAUCAAUCUUGGCCCUUUAACCCCAUUGCCUCACCAAAAUCUUCAACUAAGAGUAAAAAGGCAAUCGGAGUACAAAGAUGAACUUGGAGUUAGUUACUCUUUCAUCGGAGUGCAGUGGAAGUCUUGCAUGGUCCAAGUCCACCUUUUCCCUUUCAAACCUCCUUUGAGACUAAAUUAAGCAAACUUAAGCACACAGUUAGUCUCAAAGGGUCAAGUUGUAGCACAUCUCCCCCUAAAUAUGUGCAUCACUUGCAAAUGGACUUGUGAGGUCCGGGGAGUGCUUGUACAACUUGAGCACCAUAAAUAAACAACAAAAUGCAUUAAGGAACAUGAUCAAGGCAUAAAACACAUGUAUGCUAUAAAUCAAUCCAGGUUCCGCGAAUCUAAGACAUUUAGCUCACUACGCAGCUUGCAAAAGGUCGACUCAUCUAGAGGCUUGGUAAAGAUAUCGGCUAGCUGGUUCUCGGUGCUAACAUGAAACACUUCGAUAUCUCCCUUUUGCUGGUGGUCUCUCAAAAAGUGAUGUCGGAUGUCAAUGUGCUUUGUGCGGCUGUGUUCAACAGGAUUAUCCACCAUGCGGAUAGCACUCUCAUUGUCACAUAGGAGUGGGACUUUGCUCAGAUUGUAGCCAAAGUCCCGGAGGGUUUGCCUCAUCCAAAGCGCGCAACACUGUCCUGCGGCAACAUACUCGGCCUCAGCGGUGGAUAGGGCAACAGAAGUUUGUUUCUUAGAACUCCACGACACCAGGGACCUUCCUAAGAAUUGGCACGUCCCCGAUGUACUCUUCCUAUCGACCUUACAUCCAGCAUAGUCGGAGUCUGAAUAUCCAAUUAAGUCAAAGGUAGACCCCUUUGGAUACCAGAUCCCGAAGCAAGGCGUAGCGACUAAAUAUCUAAGAAUUCGCUUCACAGCCACUAAGUGACACUCCCUUGGAUCGGAUUGAAAUCUAGCACACAUGCAUACACUAAGCAUAAUAUCCGGUCUACUAGCACAUAAAUAAAGUAAAGACCCUAUCAUAGACCGGUAUGCCUUUUGAUCAACGGACUUACCUCCUUUGUUGAGGUCGGUGUGUCCGUCGGUUCCCAUUGGAGUCUUUGUGGGCUUGGCGUCCUUCAUCCCAAACCGCUUGAUCAAGUCUUGCGUGUACUUCGUUUGGGAGAUGAAGGUCCCAUCCUUGAAUUGCUUCACUUGGAACCCAAGGAAAUAGCUUAACUCGCCCAUCAUCGACAUCUCAAACUUUUGAGUCAUCACCCUGCUAAACUCUUCACAAGACUUUUGGUUAGUAGAACCAAAUAUUAUGUCAUCGAGAUAAAUUUGGCACACAAAAAGAUCACCAUCACAAGUCUUAGUAAAAAGAGUUGGAUCGGCUUUCCCAACCUUGAAAGCAUUAGCAAUUAAAAAGUCUCUAAGGCAUUCAUACCAUGCUCUUGGGGCUUGCUUAAGUCCAUAGAGCGCCUUAGAGAGCUUACACACGUGGUCGGGAUACCGUUCAUCCUCGAAGCCAGGGGGUUUCUCCACGUACACCUCCUCCUUGAUUGGCCCGUUGAGGAAAGCGCUCUUCACAUCCAUUUCGAACAACCUGAAAGAAUGGUGAGUAGCAUAGGCUAACAAUAUGCGAAUUGACUCUAGCCUAGCCACAGGAGCAAAAGCCUCCUCAAAGUCCAAACCUGUGACUUGGGCAUAACCUUUUGCCACAAGUCGUGCCUUGUUCCUUGUCACCACCCCAUGCUCGUCUUGUUUGUUGCAGAACACCCACUUGGUUCCCACAAUGUUUUGCUUGGGACGAGGCACCAGUGUCCAAACUUCAUUUCUCUUGAAGUUGUUGAGCUCUUCCUGCAUGGCCAACACCCAGUCCGGAUCUAGCAAGGCCUCUUCUACCCUGGAAGGCUCAAUAGAAGAGACAAAGGUGUAAUGCUCACAAAAAUUAACUAAUCUAGAACGAGUAGUUACUCCCUUGCUUAUGUCACCCAAUAUUUGGUCGACGGGAUGAUUCCUUUGAAUCGUCGCUCGAACUUGGGUUGGAGGUGCCGGUUGUGCUUCUUCCUCCAUUAAAUGAUCAUCUUGUGCUCCCCCUUGAUCACACGCCUCAUGUUCAUCAUCUUGAGUUGGGGGAUGCACCAUUAUUGAGGAGGAAGGUUGAUCUUGCUCCUUUUGUUCCAUUGGCCUCACAUCUCCAAUCGCCAUGGUGCGCAUUGCGGCCGUUGGAACGUCUUCUUCAUCUACAUCAUCAAGAUCAACAACUUUCUCUCUUGGAGAGCCAUUAGUCUCAUCAAAUACAACGUCGCUAGAGACUUCAACCAAACCCGAUGAUUUGUUGAAGACCCUAUACGCCUUUGUAUUUGAGUCAUAACCUAACAAAAACCCUUCUACAGCUUUGGGAGCAAACUUAGAAUUUCUACCUUUCUUCACUAGAAUGUAGCAUUUACUCCCAAAUACACGAAAGUAAGAUACAUUGGGUUUGUUACCAGUUAGAAGCUCAUACGAAGUCUUCUUGAGGAGGCGAUGAAGGUAGACCCGGUUUAUGGCGUGGCAAGCCGUGCUCACGGCCUCCGUCCAAAACCGUUCGGGCGUCUUGAAUUCACCAAGCAUCGUCCUCGCCAUGUAUAGUAGCGUCCUGUUCUUCCUCUCUACCACACCAUUUUGUUGUGGUGUGUAGGGAGCGGAGAACUCGUGCUUGAUUCCUUCCUCCUCAAGAUACUCCUCCACUUGAAGGUUCUUGAACUCGGACCCAUUGUCGCUCCUUAUCUUCUUCACUUUGAGCUCAAACUCGUUUUGGGCUCUCCUUAGGAAGCGCUUGAGGGUCCCUUGGGUUUCAGAUUUAUCCUGCAAAAAGAAUACCCAAGUGAAGCGGGAAAAAUCAUCAACUAUAACAAGACCAUACUUACUUCCUCCUAUGCUUAGAUAGGCGACGGGUCCAAAGAGAUCCAUAUGAAGUAACUCCAGGGGUCUUGAUGUUGUCAUCACAUUUUUGGCAUGAUGAGAGCUUCCCACCUGUUUACCUGCUUGACAAGCUGCACAAGGUCUAUCUUUUUUGAAAGUUACAUUAGUUAGACCUAUCACGUGUUCUCCCUUUAGAAGCUUGUGAAGGUUCUUCAUCCCCACAUGUGCUAAACGGUGAUGCCACAGCUAGCCCAUGCUAGUCUUAGCAAUUAAGCAUGCAUCUAGACCGGCCUCCUCUUUUGCAAAAUCAACUAAAUAAAGUUUGUCGUCUAGUACACCCUUAAAAGCUAAUGAACCAUCACUUCUUCUAAAGACAGACACAUCUACAUUGGUGAAUAAACAGUUAUAUCCCAUAUUACAAAGUUGACUCACAGACAACAAGUUAUAUCCAAGCGACUCAACUAAGAACACAUUAGAAAUAGAGUGCUCGGAUGAAAUAGCAAUUUUUCCUAACCCUUUCACCUUGCCUUGGUUCCCAUCACCGAAUAUGAUUGAAUCUUGGGGAUCCUUGUUCUUGACGUAGGAAGAGAACAUCCUCUUUUCCCCCGUCAUGUGGCUUGUGCAUCCGCUGUCGAUAAUCCAGCUUGAGCCCCCGGAUGCAUAAACCUGCAAGGCAAAUUUAGGCUUGGGUCUUAGGUACCCAACUCAUGUUGGGUCCUAUAAGGUUAGUACAAAUAGCUUUAGGGACCCAAAUGCAAGUUUUAUCUCCCUUGCAUUUUGCCCCUAAUUUUCUAGCAACCACCUUCUUAUCCUUUCUACAAAUAGCAAAGGAAGCAUUUAAAGCAUGAUAAAUUAUAGAAGGUUCACUACUUGUUUUCCUAGGCACAUGAGUGUUUCUCCUAGGCACAUGAUGAAUGGCAUUUUUCCUAGCCAAACUUCUAUCAUACAUCAUAGAAGAACUUGAAGCAAACAUUGCAUUUGAAUCAUAAGCAUGUGAAACAAUAUCAUUGCAACUUCUAUCAUGAUGAACAUUCCUAGAAUAUCUCCUUUCAUGGUAUAAGAAAGCAUGGUUCUUUUGAAUACUAUUUGCCAUAGGGGCCUUCCCUUUCUCCUUGAUGGAGAUGGUAGCCUUAUGACUUGUCAAGUUUUUGGCUUCCCUCUUGAAGCCAAGCCCAUCCUUAAUUGAGGGGUGUCUACCAACUGUGUAGGCAUCCCUUGCAAAUUUUAUUUUAUCAAAAUCACUCUUGCUAGUCUUAAGUUGGGCAUUAAGACUAGCUACUUCAUCAUUUAAUUUAGUAAUUGAAACUAGGUGUUCACUACAAGCAUCAACAUUAAUAUCUUUACACCUAUUGCAAAUUGCAACAUUGAGAGCACCUAGAGGGGGGGUGAAUAGGUGAUCCUGUGAAACUUAAACUUAUAGCCACAAAAACUUGUUAAGUGUUAGCACAAUAAUCGCCAAGUGGCUAGAGAUGAGUCUCAACAAAACACAAUACCACAAAAGAUCAACAUAGAGAAGACACAGUGGUUUAUCCCGUGGUUCGGCCAAGUACAAAACUUGCCUACUCCACGUUGUGGCGUCCCAACGGACGAGAGUUGCACUCAACUCCUCUCAAGUGAUCCAAUGAUCAACUUGAAUACCACAGUGUUAUGCUUUUCCUUUCAAUAUCCCGUUUGCGAGGAAUCUCCACAACUUGGAGCCUCUCGCCCUUACACUUAAGAUUCACAAAGAAAUACGGAGUAAGGGAGAAACUAGCAACGCACACAAGACUCAAAAUCAGAGCAACAGCACGCACACAAGUCGCAACAAGAGCUCGCAACACAACUCAAUGAGUCCACAACUCAACAAGAGCUCUAGAUGCUAUCACAAUGAACCAAAUGCGUGGAAUCGAUGUCUUGGUGCUUAGGAAUGUUGUAGGAAUGCUUGGUGUCCUCUUCCAUGCGCCUAGGGGUCCCUUUUAUAGCCCCAAGGCAGCUAGGAGCCGUUGAGAACAAAUCCAGAAGGCCAUCCUUGCCUUCUGUCGUCGGGCGCACCGGACAGUCCGGUGCACACCGGACACUGUCUGGUGCCCGAUUUCCUUCCUUAAACAGCGCAGUCGACUGUUGCAGGUCUGGGAGCCGUUGGCGCACCGGACAUGUCCGGUGCACACCGGACAGUCCGGUGCCCCCUUCCGACCGUUGGCUCGGCCACGUGUCCCGCGCAGAUCGCGCGGCCGACCGUUGGCCCGGCCGACCGUUGGCUCACCGGACAGUCCGGUGCACACCGGACAGUCCGGUGAAUUUUAGCCGUACGUCGCCAGUCAACUCCCGAGAGCGGCCAGUUCGCCCGAGGCAGCCUGGCGCACCGGACACUGUCCGGUGCACCACCGGACAGUCCGGUGCCCCAGACCGAAACAGCCUUUUGGCUGUACAUAGCCAACUCUCCUCUUUUCUUCUUCUUCCUGUUUCUGAUUCUUAGACAAGUAUAUUAGUACACAAAACCAAUGUACUAAGACUUAGAAACAUACCUUUGCUCUAGAUUUGCACUUUGUUCAUCUAUGGGCAUUGAUUCACAUUUAAGCACUUGUGUUGACACUCAAUCACCAAAAUACUUAGAAAUGGCCCAAGGGCACAUUUCCCUUUCAAUCUCCCCCUUUUUGGUGAUUUAUGCCAACACAACAUAAAGCAACUAGAACAAGUGCAAUAUUACUUCAAAUAAAAUAAAUUUGAGUUUUAUUCAAUUUUGGCAUAUAUGGAUCAUCCUUUGCCACCACUUGGUUUGUUUUUGCAAAUCAAACUCAAAUCUCUAUCUCUAAGUCAAACACACAUGUUGAAGCAUAAAGAGAGUCAUUCCAAAAGAGAUUGAUCAAAGAUUUCAAAAACUCCCCCUACUUCCCAUAGUCAAAACUUCUCCCCACAAGAAGCCAACUUUUGACGAAAGAGACAAUGCAAGAGUUUUGACAAACCAAAAGCUCUAUCCUACUAUUUUCAAAGUUUCUCAAGUGGUAGCUGAUCCAUUUAUUGCUUUGGCCUUUAUUUUCUCCCCCUUUGGCAUCAAGCACCAAAACGGGAUCAAUCUUGGCCCUUUAACCCCAUUGCCUCACCAAAAUCUUCAAUUAAGAGCAAAUAGGCAAUAAGAGUUUAAAGAUGAACUUGGAAUAAGUUACCCUAUCAUCGGAGUGCAGUGGAAGUCUUUCAUGGUCCAAGUCCACCUUUUCCCUUUCAAUUCCUCCUUCGAGACUAAAUCAUCAACUCAAGCACAUGGUUAGUCUCAAAGGGUCAAGUUGUAACACAUCUCCCCCUAAACAUGUGCAUCACUUUGCAACGGACUUGUGAGGUCCAGGGAGUGUUUGUACAACUUGAGCACCAUAAUAAGCAACAAAAUGCAGAAAGGAACAUGAUCAAAAGCAUAAAUAUAAGUAUGCUACAAUUCAAUCCAAGUUCCGCGAAUCUAAGACAUUUAGCUCACUACGCAGCCUGCAAAAGGUCUUCUCAUCUAGAGGCUUGGUAAAGAUAUCGGCUAGCUGGUUCUCGGUGCUAACAUGAAACACUUCGAUAUCUCCCUUUUGCUGGUGGUCUCUCAAAAAGUGAUGCCGGAUGUCUAUGUGCUUUGUGCGGCUGUGCUCAACAGGAUUUUCCGCCAUGCGGAUAGCACUCUCAUUAUCACAUAGGAGUGGGAUUUUGCUCAGAUUGUAGCCAAAGUCCCUGAGGGUUUGCCUCAUCCAAAGCAGUUGCGCGCAACACUGUCCUGCGGCAACGUACUCGGCCUCAGCGGUGGAUAGGGCAACAGAAGUUUGUUUCUUAGAGUUCCAUGACACUAGGGACCUUCCUAAGAAUUGGCACGUCCCCGAUGUGCUCUUCCUAUCGACCUUACAUCCAGCAUAGUCGGAGUCUGAGUAUCCAACCAAGUCAAAGGUAGACCCCUUUGGAUACCAGAGUCCGAAGCAAGGCGUAGCAACCAAAUAUCUAAGAAUUCACAUCACCGCCACUAAGUGACACUCCUUAGGAUCGGAUUGAAAUCUAGCACACAUGCAUACGCUAAGCAUAAUAUCCGGUCUACUAGCACAUAAAUAAAGUAGAGACCCUAUCAUUGACCGGUAUGCUUUUUGAUCAACGGACUUACCUCCUUUGUUGAGGUCGGUGUGUCCGUCGGUUCCCAUCGGAGUCUUUGCGGGCUUGGCGUCCUUCAUCCCAAACCGCUUUAGCAGAUCUUGCGUGUACUUCGUUUGGGAGAUGAAGGUGCCGUCCUUGAGUUGCUUCACUUGGAACCCAAGGAAGUAGUUCAACUCGCCCAUCAUCGACAUCUCGAAUUUCUGAGUCAUUACCCUGCUAAACUCUUCACAAGACUUUUGGUUAGUAGAACCAAAUAUUAUGUCAUCGACAUAAAUUUGGCACACAAACAAAUCACCAUCACAUGUCUUAGUGAACAGAGUUGGAUCGGCUUUCCCAACCUUGAAAGCAUUAGCAAGUAAAAAGUCUCUAAGGCAUUCAUACCAUGCUCUUGGGGCUUGCUUAAGUCCAUAGAGCGCCUUAGAGAGCUUACACACGUGGUCGGGGUACCGUUCAUCCUCGAAGCCAGGGGGUUGCUCUACGUACACCUCCUCCUUGAUUGGCCCAUUGAGGAAAGCGCUCUUCACAUCCAUUUGGUACAACCUGAAAGAAUGGUGAGCGGCAUAUGCUAGCAAGAUACGAAUUGAUUCUAGCCUGGCCACAGGAGCAAACGUCUCCUCAAAGUCCAAACCUGCGACUUGGGCAUAACCUUUUGCCACAAGUCGAGCCUUGUUCCUCGUCACCACCCCAUGCUCGUCCUGUUUGUUGCGGAACACCCACUUGGUUCCCACAACAUUUUGCUUGGGACGAGGCACCAGUGUCCAAACUUCAUUGCGCUUGAAGUUGUUGAGUUCCUCCUGCAUGGCUAACACCCAGUCCAGAUCUAGCAAGGCCUCUUCUACCCUGAAAGGCUCAAUAGAAGAGACAAAGGAGUAAUGCUCACAAAAAUUAACUAAUCGAGAUCGAGUAGUUACUCCCUUGCUAUUAUCACCCAGAAUUUGGUCGACGGGAUGAUCCCUUUGAAUCAUCGCUCGAACUUGGGUUGGAGGUGCCGGUUGCGCUUCUUCCUCCAUCACGUGAUCAUCUUGUGCUCCCCCUUGAUCACACGCCUCCUUUUGAUGAACCUGUUCAUCGUCUUGAGUUGGGGGAUGCACCGUUGUUGAGGAAGAAGGUUGAUCUCGUUCAUCUUGUUCCUGUGGCCGCACUUCUCCAAUCGUCAUGGUUCGUAUAGCAGCCGUCGGAACAUCUUCUUCAUCUACAUCAUCACAAUCAACAACUUGCUCUCUUGGAGAGCCAUUAGUCUCAUCAAAUACAACGUCGCUAGAGACUUCAACCAAACCCGAUGAUUUGUUGAAGACUCUAUACGCCUUUGUAUUUGAGUCAUAACCUAACAAAAACCCUUCUACAGCUUUGGGAGCAAACUUAGAAUUUCUACCCUUCUUCACUAGAAUGUAGCAUUUGCUCCCAAAUACACGAAAGUAAGAUACAUUGGGUUUGUUACCGGUUAGAAGCUCAUACGACGUCUUCUUGAGGAGGCGGUGAAGGUAGACCCUGUUGAUGGCGUGACAAGCCGUGUUCACGGCUUCCGACCAAAAGCACUCGGGGGUCUUGAACUCUCCAAGCAUCGUCCUCGCCAUAUCAAUGAGUGUCCUGUUUUUCCUCUCUACCACAGCAUUUUGUUGUGGUGUGUAGGGAGCGGAGAACUCGUGCUUGAUCCCUUCCUCCUCAAGGAACUCCUCCACUUGAAGGUUCUUGAACUCGGAUCCGUUGUCGCUCCUUAUCUUCUUCACCUUGAGCUCAAACUCAUUUUGAGCUCUCCUGAGGAAGCGCUUGAGGGUCCCUUGGGUUUCAGACUUAUCCUGCAAAAAGAACACCCAAGUGAAGCGGGAAAAGUCAUCAACAAUAACUAGACCAUACUUACUCCCUCCUAUGCUCAGAUAGGCGACAGGUCCGAAAAGGUCCAUAUGCAGCAGCUCCAGGGGUCUUGAAGUGGUCAUCACAUUCUUGCUGUGAUGCGCUCCUCCCGCUUGUUUACCUGCUUGACAAGCUGCACAAGGUCUAUCUUUUUCGAAUUGCACGUUAGUCAAACCUAUCACGUGUUCUCCCUUUAGAAGCUUGUGAAGGUUCUUCAUCCCCACAUGUGCUAAGCGGCGAUGCCACAGCCAGCCCAUGCUAGUCUUAGCUAUUAAGCAUGCAUCUAGACCGGCCUCUUCUUUUGCAAAAUCAACUAAAUAAAGUUUGUCGUCUAAUACACCCUUAAAAGCUAGUGAACCAUCACUUCUUCUAAAGACAGACACAUCUACAUUUGUAAAUAGACAGUUAUACCCCAUGUUGCAUAAUUGACUAACAGAUAGCAAAUUAUAUCCAAGAGACUCUACUAAAAACACAUUAGAUAUGGAGUGCUCAUUAGAAAUUGCAAUUUUACCUAACCCUUUUACCUUGCCUUGAUUCCCAUCACCGAAUAUAAUUGAAUCUUGGGAAUCCUUAUUCUUGACGUAGGAGGUGAACAUCUUCUUCUCCCCCGUCAUAUGGUUUGUGCAUCCGCUAUCAAUAAUCCAGCUUGAACCCCCGGAUGCAUAAACCUGCAAGGCAAAUUUAGGCUUGGGUCUUAGGUACCCAACUCAUGUUGGGUCCUAUAAGGUUAGUGCAAAUAUCCUUAGGGACCCAAAUGCAAGUUUUGUCUCCCUUGCAUUUUGCCCCUAACUUCCUGGCAAUUAUUUUCCUAUCCUUUCUACAAAUAGCAAAGGAAGCAUUUAAAGCACAAUAAAUUGUAGAAGGUUCAUUCACUACUUUCCUAGGAGCAUGAAUAAUAUUCUUUUUAGGCACAUGAUGAAUAGCAUUUCUCCUAGAUAUAUUUCUACCAUGCAUAUAGGAAGAACUAGAAGCAAACAUGGCAUGAGAGUCAAAAUCAUCAUAAGCAUUAUGAUUCCUAUAAGCAUUUCUAGUUUGUCUCCUAUCAUGAUACAUAAAAGCAUGGUUCCUUUUAGUACUACUUGCCAUAGGGGCCUUCCCUUUCUCCUUGGCGGAGAUGGGAGCCUUAUGGCUUGUUAAGUUCUUGGCUUCCCUCUUGAAGCCAAGUCCAUCCUUAAUUGAGGGGUGUCUACCAAUCGUGUAGGCAUCCCUUGCAAAUUUUAGCUUAUCAAAAUCAUUCUUGCUAGUCUUAUUUUGAGCAUUAAGACUAGCCAAUUCAUCAUUAAGCUUGGAAAUUGAAACUAGGUGUUCACUACACGCAUCAAUGUCAAAGUCUUUACACCUAGUACAAAUUACAACAUGUUCUACACAAGAAUUGGAUUUAUUUGCCACUUCUAAUUUAGCAUUUAAAUCAUUGUUGACACCUUCCAAAGUAGAAAUGGUUUCAUGACAAGUAGAUAGUUCAAAAGAAAGCAUUCCAUUUCUCUUAAUCUCUAAUGCAAGUGAUUUUUGUGCUUCUACAAAUUUGUCAUGUUCUUCAUACAACAAAUCCUCUUGCUUUUCUAAAAGCCUAUUCUUAUCAUUCAAGGCAUCAAUCAAUUCAUUAAUUUUAUCUAUCUUAGAUCUAUCUAAGCCCUUGAACAAGCAUGAAUAAUCUAUGUCAUCAUCGUCACUAGACUCAUUAUCACUAGAAGAAGUAUAAGUGGAGUCUUGAGUACUCACCUUCUUCUCCCUUGCCAUAAGGCAUGUGUGAUGCUCGUUGGGGAAGAGGGAUGACUUGUUGAAGGCAGUGGCGGCGAGUCCUUCAUUGUCGGAGUCGGACGAGGAGCAGUCUGAAUCCCACUCCUUGCCGAGAUGAGCUUCGCCCUUUGCCUUCUUAUAAUUCUUCUUCUUCUCCCUCUUGUUCCCUUGGUCUUGAUCACUAUCAUUGUCAGGACAGUUAGCAAUAAAAUGACCAAGCUUACCGCAUUUGAAACAUGAGCGCUUUCCCUUGGUCUUGGUCUUGCUUGGUUGUCCCUUGCGAUCUUUUAGCGCCGUCUUGAAUCUUUUGAUGAUGAGGGCCAUCUCUUCAUCAUUAAGUCCGGCCGCCUCAAUUUGCGCCACCUUGCUAGGUAGCGCCUCCUUGCUCCUUAUUGCCUUGAGAGCAAUGGGUUGAGGCUCAUGGGUUGGACCAUUCAAUGCGUCGUCCACGUACCUUGCUUCCUUGAUCAUCAUUCGCCCGCUUACAAAUUUUCCAAGAACUUCUUCGGGCGACAUCUUGGUGUACCUAGGAUUUUCACGAAUAUUGUUCACCAAAUGAGGAUCAAGAACGGUAAAGGACCUUAGCAUUAGGCGGACAACGUCGUGGUCCGUCCAUCGCGUGCUUCCGUAGCUCCUUAUUUUGUUGAUAAGGGUCUUGAGCCUGUUGUAAGUUUGGGUUGGCUCUUCUCCCCUUAUCAUUGCGAAUCGUCCAAGCUCGCCCUCCACCAACUCCAUUUUAGUGAGCAUGGUGAUGUCGUUCCCUUCGUGAGAGAUCUUGAGGGUGUCCCAUAUCUGCUUGGCGUUGUCUAGGCCGCUCACCUUAUUGUACUCUUCCCUGCACAAAGAUGCUAAUAGAACAGUAGUAGCUUGUGCAUUUCUAUGGAUUUGUUCAUUUAUAAGCAUAGGGCUAUCCGAGCUAUCAAAUUUCAUUCCAUUCUCUACAAUCUCACAUAUGCUUGGAUGGAGAGAGAAUAAGUGACUACGCAUUUUGUGACUCCAAAAUCCGUAGUCUUCCCCAUCGAAGUGUGGAGGUUUGCCAAGAGGAAUGGAAAGCAAAUGCGAAUUCGAACUAUGUGGAAUACGAGAAUAAUCAAAUGAAAAGUUCGAAUUGACCGUCUUCCUGUAGUCGUUGUCGUCGUCCUUUUGGGAAGAAGUCGACUCAUCGCUAUCGUCGUAGUAGACGAUCUCCUUGAUGCGCCUUGUCUUCUUCUUCUUCCCAUCUUUACGCUUGUGGCCCGAGCCCGAGUCAGUAGGCUUGUCAUCCUUCGGCUCGUUGACGAAGGACUCCUUCUCCUUGUCGUUGAUCACGAUUCCCUUCCCCUUAGGAUCCAUCUCUUCGGGCGAUUAGUCCCUUCUUGAAGAGAACAGCUCUGAUACCAAUUGAGAGCACCUAGAGGGGGGGGUGAAUAGGUGAUCCUGUGAAACUUAAACUUAUAGCCACAAAAACUUGUUAAGUGUUAGCACAAUAAUCACCAAGUGGCUAGAGAUGAGUCUCAACAAAACACAAUACCACAAAAGAUCAACACAGAGAAGACACAGUGGUUUAUCCCGUGGUUCGGCCAAGUACAAAACUUGCCUACUCCACGUUGUGGCGUCCCAACGGACGAGAGUUGCACUCAACUCCUCUCAAGUGAUCCAAUGAUCAACUUGAAUACCACAGUGUUAUGCUUUUCCUUUCAAUAUCCCGUUUGCGAGGAAUCUCCACAACUUGGAGCCUCUCGCCCUUACACUUAAGAUUCACAAAGAAAUACGGAGUAAGGGAGAAACUAGCAACGCACACAAGACUCAAAAUCAGAGCAACAGCACGCACACAAGUCGCAACAAGAGCUCGCAACACAACUCAAUGAGUCCACAACUCAACAAGAGCUCUAGAUGCUAUCACAAUGAACCAAAUGCGUGGAAUCGAUGUCUUGGUGCUUAGGAAUGUUGUAGGAAUGCUUGGUGUCCUCUUCCAUGCGCCUAGGGGUCCCUUUUAUAGCCCCAAGGCAGCUAGGAGCCGUUGAGAACAAAUCCAGAAGGCCAUCCUUGCCUUCUGUCGUCGGGCGCACCGGACAGUCCGGUGCACACUGGACACUGUCCGGUGCACACUGGACACUGUCCGGUGCCCGAUUUCCUUCCUUAAACAGCGCAGUCGACCGUUGCAGGUCUGGGAGCCGUUGGCGCACCGGACAUGUCCGGUGCACACCGGACAGUCCGGUGCCCCCUUCCGACCGUUGGCUCGGCCACGUGUCCCGCGCAGAUCGCGCGGCCGACCGUUGGCCCGGCCGACCGUUGGCUCACCGGACAGUCCGGUGCACACCGGACAGUCCGGUGAAUUUUAGCCGUACGUCGCCAGUCAACUCCCGAGAGCGGCCAGUUCGCCCGAGGCAGCCUGGCGCACCGGACACUGUCCGGUGCACCACCGGACACUGUCCGGUGCACCACCGGACAGUCCGGUGCCAUAGACCGAAACAGCCUUUUGGCUGUACAUAGCCAACUCUCCUCUUUUCUUCUUCUUCCUGUUUCUGAUUCUUAGACAAGUAUAUUAGUACACAAAACCAAUGUACUAAGACUUAGAAACAUACCUUUGCUCUAGAUUUGCACUUUGUUCAUCCAUGGGCAUUGAUUCACAUUUAAGCACUUGUGUUGACACUCAAUCACCAAAAUACUUAGAAAUGGCCCAAGGGCACAUUUCCCUUUCAAACAUGUUCUACACAAGAUGUUGAUUUAUUAGCUAUUUCUAACUUAGCAUUCAAAUCAUCAUUUGUGCUCUUUAAGCUAGAAAUGGAGUCAUGGCAUGUAGACAAUUCACAAGAAAGCAUUUCAUUCCUUUUAAUUUCUAAAGCAAGGGAUUUUUGUGCCUCUACAAACUUAUCAUGUUCUUCAUACAAAAGAUCCUCUUGCUUUUCUAAUAACCUAUUUUUAUCAUUCAAGGCAUCAAUUAAUUCAUUAAUCUUAUCAACCUUAGUUCUAUCUAGGCCCUUGAAUAAGCAUGAAUAGUCUAUCUCAUCAUCGCUAGAUUCUUCAUCACUUGAGGAAGCGUAAGUACUAGUAUCACGAGUGCUUACCUUCUUUUCCCUUGCCAUGAGGCAGGUGUGAUGCUCAUUGGGGAAGAGGGCCGACUUGUUGAAGGCGGUGGCGGCGAGUCCUUCGUUGUCAGAGUCGGACGACGAACAAUCCGAGUCCCACUCCUUUCCAAGGUGUGCCUCGCCCUUAGCUUUCUUGUAAGCCUUCUUCUUUUCCCUCUUGUUCCCUUGUUCCUGGUCACUAUCAUUAUCGGGACAAUUAGCGAUAAAAUGACCAAUCUUACCACAUUUGAAGCAUGAGUGCUUCCCCUUUGUCUUGGUCUUGUUGGGAUGCUCCUUGCGACCCCUUAGCGCCGUCUUGAAGCGCUUGAUGAUGAGGGCCAUUUCUUCAUCAUUAAGUCCGGCCGCCUCAACUUGUGUUACCUUGCUAGGUAGCGCCUCCUUGCUCCUUGUUGCUUUGAGAGCAACGGUUUGAGGCUCAUGGAUUGGACCGUUCAACGCAUCGUCAACGUAUCUUGCCUCCUUGAUCAUCAUCCGCCCGCUUACAAACUUUCCAAGUAUCUCCUUGGGCGUCAUCUUGGUGUACCUAGGAUUCUCACGAAUAUUGUUCACAAGAUGUGGAUCAAGGAUAGUAAAAGACCUUAGCAUUAGGCGGACGACGUCGUGGUCCGUCCAUCGCGUGCUUCCAUAACUCCUUAUUUUGUUGACGAGGGUCUUGAGCCGGUUGUAUGUUUGGGUUGGCUCCUCGCCCCUGAUCAUUGCAAAUCUCCCAAGUUCGCCCUCCAAUAACUCCAUCUUGGUGAGCAUGGCGACGUCAUUUCCCUCAUGAGAGAUCUUGAGGGUGUCCCAAAUCUUCUUGGCGUUAUCCAAGCCGCUCACCUUAUGGUAUUCAUCCCUGCACAAAGAUGCUAGAAGAACAAUAGUAGCUUGUGCAUUUUUGUGAAUUUUCUCAUUGAUAAAUGUGGGACUAUCAGUACUAUCAAAUUGCAUUCCACUCUCUACUAUCUCCCAUAUGCUUGGAUGGAGAGAGAACAAGUGACUACGCAUUUUGUGACUCCAAAAUCCGUAGUCCUCUCCAUCAAAGUGAGGAGGUUUACCAAGUGGAAUGGAGAGUAAAUGAGCAUUUGUAUUUUGCGGAAUACGAGAAUAAUCAAAAGAAAAGUUUGAAUUGACCGUUUUCUUUUUCUCGUAGUUGUCGUCGUCCUUUUGGGAAGAAGAGGACUCGUCACUGUCGUCGUAGUAGACGAUCUCCUUGAUGCGCCUUGUUUUCUUCUUCUUCCCGUCUUUUCUUUUGUGGCUUGAGCCCGAGUCAGUAGGCUUGUCAUCUUUUGGGUCAUUGACGAAGGACUCCUUCUCCUUAUCAUUGACCACCAUCCCCUUGCCCCUAGGAUCCAUCUCUUCGGGCGAUUAGUCCCUUUCUUGAAGAGAACGACUUUGAUACCAAUUGAGAGCACCUAGAGGGGGGUGAAUAGGUGAUCCUGUAAAACUUAAAACUUAACACCAUAAACUUGAUUAAGAGUUAGAACACUGAAAUCAAGUGAGUAGAGAGGAGAGCUCUUGUGAAUCACAAAGGACACAAUAAAGACAAGCACAAGAGACACGAGGAUUUAUCCCGUGGUUCAUCCAAGUACAAAACUUUGCCUACUCCAUGUUGUGGCGUCCCAACGGACGAGAGUUGCACUCAACUCCUCUCAAGUGAUCCAAUGAUCAACUUGAAUACCACGGUGUUCUUCUUUACUUUACUCUUUUCCCGCUUGCGAGGAAUCUCCACAACUUGGAGUCUCUCGCCCGUACAAUAAGAAUCUCAAUGAAGCACUAGAGUAAGGGAGGGAAGCAACACACUCAAAACCACAGCAAAUACGCACACACAAGAUCAAGACUUGAGCUCAAGACAAUAUCUCGAGGUUCUCACUAGAACAGAGCUCAAAUCACUAAGAAUGUCGAACAAGUGCGCAAGAAUAAAGCGUGAGUGAUCAACAAUGCUCAAGGAAUGCUUGGUGUACUCCUCCAUGCGCCUAGGGGUCCCUUUUAUAGCCCCAAGGCAGCUAGGAGCCGUUGAGAGCAUUUCAAGAAGGAAAUUCUUGCCUUCUGUCGCCUGGUGCACCGGACAGUCCGGUGCACCAUCGGACACUGUCCGGUGCGAAUUUCUUUCCUUCUUUGGCGAAGCCGACCGUUGGCGCUUUGGAGCCGUUGGCGCACCGGACACUGUCCGGUGCACACCGGACAGUCCGGUGCCCCUUCUGACCGUUGGCUCUUGCCACACGUCGCAUGCGGAUUAUGCGGUCGACUGUUGGCUCACCGGACAGUCCGGUGCACCAACGGACAGUCCAGUGAUUUAUAGCCGUACGCCGUUAAUUGCUUCCCGAGAGCAGUCAGUUGACAGUCGCCGGCCUGGCGCACCGGACACUGUCCGGUGCACCCAAACCGAGCUAUCUAUGGCUGAACAAAGCCGUCUCUUUUCCAACUUGAUUUCUCCUGUUUCCAGCACUUAGACACAAUACAUUAGUCUCCAAAACAAUGUACUAAGUCUUAGAAACAUACCUUUUUACUUGAUUUGCACUUUAUCCAUCACUUUGCAUAGAUUAACAUUAGUCCACUUGUGUUGGCACUCAAUUACCAAAAUACUUAGAAAUGGCCCAAGGGCACAUUUCUCUUUCAAUUAUACCUCCUAGUUAUGAUAGGAUAAAUGCUUCCGACGAAGAUCAACGAUGUAUAUGCUUAAACUAUCUAGCUUAUGACAUCUUAAGUAAUUCUCUUAGCAAUGAAGAUUAUCGUGCCUUCAUAUCAAAUUAUAAUGAAUCUAUUCAUGAUGCACAUGAUAUUUCGACUAGAAUUAAAAUCAAAUUUGAUGAGUCCAAACAUGAUAGUUCAUUUUGUGCUUCUACUUCCUUUGGUAUUUGCGAAACUAACCCUUUGAAGGAAGAGGAGGAAAAUGAACGAUGGAGACCAAACGAUGAAUCCACCUCUCCAAAAGGUUUGUCUUCCCAUUUCGAUUCCUACAUAUGUUGUGUGGCUAAUGAAAAUGAUAGCGGAAGCACAAACGAGGAUGAGGAGGAAGAAAGAAGCUUCAUGCAACUCUAUGCUCGCCUAAGCCAAGAAGAUAAGGCGGUCAUGCUCAAACUUCUAGAAAGAGCGAGAGAGCAAAGCGAAGCUCGUCAAAGGCUAGAAAAUGUUCUCUCCAUGAAAAUGCUCCACUUUGACGAGUUGACUAAAGAACAUGAGGAGCUAAAGUGCUCUCAUGUUGAUUUGGUCCAAAGGUAUGAAACUAUUUCAAUUGAGCAAGAUAACGCUCUACAUUGUAUCGCUCAAUUAGUAAAUAGGAAUGCCUUGCUUAAGGACCAAGUAGAAAAGCUAAAAGAUGAAAAUCUAGCUUUUCAAGAAACAUAUGAUAUGCUCUAUGUUCUCAUGAAAAUCUUAUGGAUGAUCAUAUCAUAUUAAAUAUUACUCAUGAGGUUGUGAUAGAAAACUUAAAAUCCCAACAACCUCACUCAUGCACAUGUAUUCAAAUUGAAACUACAUUACCAUGUGCUAAUGCUUGUUGUCCGUCGACAAGCAAAUCUUCCUUUGAGCUAGAAUUUGCAGGAACAAACGAUGAUACAUAUCAAAAGCUCAAAAAAGAAAAUGAGAGGCUAAAAAUGAGCUUGACUCAACUAAAAGGGAAGUACAUUGCUCAACCUUCUCAAGAUAACUGUGAUCACAUGGUGAAGAAGCUUGAGACGGGAACAACCAUGGCAUGCACUAAAUCCCUUGAAGAAAAUGUCAAGGACUUGAGGAUUGUCAAGAGGAAGGAACAAAAGAAGAAAAUCAAUACCUCUUCCAAAAGCCUCAACCACGCCUCCAUAAAAGGUAACAUCCAAGGUAAUAAUCAAGUCACACUUCAUACUAAGAGAGGUAAGAAGUGUAGUGAAUGCUUUGAAAAGGGACACUCGAUUAGGUCAUGUCCUUAUAUUAAAAAUGACUUGAUUACUAACAAGGAUGAUAAACUUUGUUUUAAAUGCUCAAAGAAGGGACACUUAAUUAAGUCUUAUCCCUAUUUAAAACAAAAAGGCAUAAUGUUAGAAAAGAAAAUAUUAACUAACCAUGUAGCAAGCAAGAAACAAGGAAAGAAGAAAUCUUCAAAACUUGAAGAUCGCCUUUGCUACAUAUGCCGAAAGAAGGGACAUCAAUGCAAGGAUUGUCCCAUUGGUAACUAUCCCUCCUCUAGCUUGUCAAUUAUUUCUCAUGUAACUAGGCAACCCAAAAUUGCAACUUGUGCUAGAAAGGUAAUGAGUUUACCAAGUGCUAACACAAAGGACUCUUGGGUUCCUAGAUCUUUGUUGACAAACCUUGAUGGAUCCAUCAAGCGAUGGGUACCAAAAUAUGCUUGACAAGCUUUGCAGGAGAAGGAGAUGGUAUGAAGAUUUGGGGUGCUUGAGAGAAUCAAUUCAAUUUUUAUUAACUCAAGUUAUCAAUCCUCAAUGAUCUAUAUCCAAGAUUGACCCAAAGUUAUUUUGAAUUGUUAUAUCUAAAACUCAUAUCAUCUCGAGAAAGAUAUUGAUGUUGUAGGAAUUAAAGAAUUAAUCAUAUGCCGAAAAGUCGAGGCCUGCAACAUGGAGGAAAAUCAAAGGAUGGUAACAAUUAUGCUUUUAAGUGCAAGUACCUUAAAUUAUCAUUUCUUAUGUGUCUUGUGAAAAAAGAAAGCACUUCAAAUGUUUUUAAAUUAUGUCACCAUUCCUUGAAGACAUUCCUCUCAUAUGGUAGAUUGUAUAUUCAUCAUUUCUAUACCAUGGCAAUCUACAUGCUUUAAAUUGUUGUAAGUACCCCAUGGCAUGUUUUACUCUAAUUAUCUUAUUAUUGCCAUGAUUCUAGAUAUAGAGAGAUAUUCCAAGUUCCUAAAAGAAUAAGGUGUCAUGUAAGGAAUUCAAAUCCUUAGGACACUUAUAAAAAGAAAAUUCUCUCUAUAACUAGAAUAGUGAGACUAAUGCUUUUAUUUAAGUAACCCAUGUAGUCUCACUAGUAGAGAAUAAGUUUCUCUUUGGAAGUGCGCAAUAUAACAUAAAAAGAAAAAUCAAUCCAAUGACUUAUGUUGUUGUGCUUCUUGCUUAUAUUGGAUAUGAUUCUUCUACAUUCAUCGCUCUCCAUGAUUGAAUUAGAUUUGUUCCCAUUAUCUUAAAGAAUUAACUAUGCUUGUUUCAUAAGUUAAAACUAAGCAUAUAUCAUGGAAUAAUCUAGUUCAUAUUAUAAAGUUUCCAUGCUUUAGUAAUCCACUUUUCAAUAUUGUCAAAAUGAUUACAAAAAGGGAAACUUGUGCUUGUGUUACUAACCAUGUAUCUCUUGAGCUUACUUAUGGAAAUCUACAAAAGAGAAAGUGCAUGUCUAAAGUCACAAGCCUCUAGGGUUACUCUUCACCCUAAGGAAGAAAGAUAAAAGCAAAGGUAUGGGAACUCUUUUUCCCAUCAAUGGAUAUUUACUCUUAAUUAUCUUAUUCUAUCUAUGUAAAGAAUAGAUUCUUUAUUAGACUUAAUUUUUGCUAGGUGUGCAUUCAAUCUCGUUCUCAUAAAUACACUAGUCCAUUAGAAUCUAUUUCAUGCCUUUACUAUAUCUAUUCUCAUAUUGAUGUGCUUUUAAGAUGUGAUAAUAAAAUCAAUAUGAAGAAGUAAAAAUCCAUAUGAUUGAUCAAAAUAUUUAAAAGGUGUUUAUUCCUCCUUUUUAAAUAAUAUGCACUAAUGUUAAGGAUUUUACUUCAUAUCUAUGUGACUAGUGGAUGAUGAAUUACUUACAUUUAUUAUCAAAAAGAAAUCAUCUUUCACCUUUUACUCUCUUGUGCUAUUAACAUCUCUCUUGAAGUAUUUUCAAUAAGUUUGGAAGGAAAAAGAGUCAACUACAAGGGAGGUCACUCAAAUGAAAAGGGAGGACAUCAAGAACAACAACACCUACUUGGAUAAUGAGAUCCUCAAAAUAUCAAUGGUGUGGUUGUAAGCAUUCUAAAUCUUUUUCAUUGUGAGAAUACUAGGCAUAAAAUGUUUAUUGCAAAUUUUAUAAGCCUUGAUCAAUAUGAAUAAUGAUUCUCCCUAUUUGUCUUUAAAAGUGAGUGCAUCUAUCCAAUUCAUUCAUUUUCUUGAUGCAUAUCUUUAGGGGGAGCCUAUUUCUAUAUCUUAAUUAUAUUGAGACUAACACUUUAUCUUAGUGAUCUCAUAUAGUCUCAAGUAUGAGAGUAAAGUUUCUCAUGAAGUAUGCUACUACAUAUCAAUCCAUCUUGGUAAAGUAAUGACACCCUUAUCAAGGAUUGUAACUUUCAUUGCUAAAGUAGCAUAUUUACUGGAUUCUCCUCUUUCAAAGCUUAUCUAAUGCAUAUGUUGUUCUUUUGAUCACAUCUGUUAUUUGUUUGAUCAUUGAAUAAACACUUAUGUUUCUUAGUGCCGCAUAUUCUAUCAAUCAAUAUCUCUUGAUAUGCACUAAGUUAAAAGGAGAAUUCAUGAUACAAUUAUGCAAUUUGUGAUCCACUUGAUAUAAAAUAACAAUGAUUUAGAAAAGGAUCACUAGUUGUAGAACCCUCUCUUGUGCAAAAUAUUUCCAUACGCUGUCUUGAAUAUAGGUCUUAAAGUAACUAAGACUAAGGACAAAGCACAAUGAAGAGAGCGUCUCUAUGUGAAGGUACAAAAGGGUAAAACUACUUCCUCUCAUUUUUACAUGUACCUACAUCUUCCUUUUCUAUACAUUCCUUGCUUAUCUUGUAUAAAAGGAAGAGAAAGCAUGUCUAGGCAAUAUCCAUGCUUCAUACAUUUCAUUCCUGCAUUUAUGCAAUUUUGUUACAACUAGGUGAAGUGAGUUUAUUGUCAAAGAGCUUAAAGCUUAACCUUGUAACGAGGAUAAGCUACCUUUGUUUCAAAGGCGGAGGGUCCUUAAGUCUCUUUGAAAUCCUUAAGGGUGAUUGCUUAAAAUGUUUUCAACAUGCUUUCAUAAGUGCAUAGUCUGUCAUGAGCAUCACACUUUUAUUAUGACACAUUGCACUUCACAGGUUCUAUAAAGGUAUGUUCUCAUUAACCUAAUUAUGUGCACUUGGCAUUUAAGGCCAAAAUUUGUAUUCCUCUCAACGCACAAAUUUAGGGGGAGCAAUCUAUAGAACUGUUUAAGCUUAAUUGACAUAUCCUUUUAACCAUGUCUCUUUCCUUUGGUGCAUUUGCAUAUUUCCUAUCUCUCUUGUGCCAAGGCUAAGACUAAUAUGUUUCCAUGAGUAUCUUGUAUAUUAGGUCUUAGAUUGAAAGGGAAAUGGAGUAUUCGGCAAAGACAUCGCUUCCACUCUACAUCUUUGAUAUUAUCCUUCCUUGCCAGUAUUUCGCCAUCUCUCCAAAUUUGGUAUAAUCUUAACUCAUACAUUAUCUAUCAAAGGGGGAGAAAGUAUGAACAAGGGCUUAUAUUUCACUCACAAGUAUUCGUUUUUGGCGAUUCAUGCCAAAGAGGGAGAAAGUAUUAGCCCAAAGCAAAAGUACCGCACCACCACCAAUUUCAAAAAUUAUAGUCUUUCAAUUUGCAUUUAAAGAAGUAUUUUUAAUUGAUAUCUUAUUUUUUAUACAAUUUCAAAUUGGUAUAACCUCUCUUAAAAUUAAUAUCUAAAACCAUCUUGAACACUAAGAGGAGGAUUUUAUUGAGGGGGAGUUUUGUCUAGUCAAAGGAAAAUCAUUUGAAACAAGGGGAGAAAAUUUCAAAUCUUGAAAAUGCUUCUCAAAAUCUAUGGAGACAAACCUAUUGUACUCUAAGAUCAAGUUGGCAAGUAGCCAUAUGAGCCCAAAGGGGUGAGGCACAAAGCAUUGCAUCCAUGGAAAUAUUACAUUGAUAAGUUGGGUUGUAACCCAACAUUUAAUCAGACUCAACAACAUGAUAAAACUACAUUAUAUAGUGUUUUCAUACCACACCAAGCCCGAUUAGACCCACUAUACACAAACUCAAUAAACAAUUGGUCCUACAAGUACUAGAACCCAAAAAAAUCCAUUAAAAACAUCCACAGCCAAGCAUAUAGAAAUAUAUGAUAGUAAUAGCUCAGAGAUUUGAAAAACAUCGCAUAAAAAACAUUAUGACGAUAGGUAUACAAAACAAGUACAUUAGUAGCUUCACUUGCAUAAUAACUUCAAUAACAACCACAUCAAGAAACCAAUAUUAAAUAGAAGUAACUUAUCAUAUCAAACAUUAAGUCAUUAAUGACAUAUCCCAUCAAACCAUAAAGGGAUUUGGAGUAAGGGAAUUCUAGUCAUCUAUACAAUAAAAUACUAAUAUGAAAGAUAUACGAACCCAUACCCUUCCUAUAUGUGCAAGUGUGUCAAAUUUAUCUUCAAAUUGCGUAGAAUCUAAAGCCUAUUCUCUGAUACCAAUUGUAACACCCCGGGAUCCACAAACACCCCGGAAUGCCACUGAACUACACUUUUGACAUCCGUAUAUAAAUUUUGGCAACAUCUCGUUUGCAAAAUUGCAUAAAUGAGGGGGCAACAGUGUAUAAACAUAUAUCAUGACAAAAAACAUACUAAGUAUUAUUAAUUGGCUAGCAAAGGGAAGUUAAACAUACGACAUGAACUGAAUUAACCAGUGUGCACAACUAGUUAAAAAACAAACAUCCUCUGACAACAAGUUUCUAAUUAAAUCAUGGCUGCGCCUGGACAGCGUUAUUAUGAGAGUGAAAGUGGACGUGCUGCUACUCCCCUCAUUCCCAACAUGUAUCAAGUACCUGCAUUGAGUAAUGCAAGAGUAAGAUGACACAUCUCAGCAAGUAAAAUAAUAACAAACUGUUUAACCACAUAAGAACAUUGUUUUACCACCACUUAAUUUCACAACCUUCUUAUUACGAAGGUGCAGCACGAAUACAACGUACAGCACGCCUAGUUACCACACAUCGCAGGUAGAAACCACAAUAGUAACAUAGUAAUGCAACACUUCAUAUAUACCUCAUGAGUGCAAAUGUCUUCAAAUACAAUGAUGACUUCUGCCUUCAUACCUCUAAGGAUAUGAAACCGCAUCGUACCCCUCCUCGGGCAACGUACGAUGCUAAAAGUGUACCGGUACGGUCGGACCAUAAGAUCACGACAUAACUUCAACAUGCAAGAUGGAUGAUGCGAUGUGCAUGACAUGCCUACAACACUUCAUAUAACGUGAUUCAAAAAGAUACUCCAACUUCAUCCAAGAUGGGAAUCAACCACAUAUAUCAUUCCCAAAUCAUGAUCAUCCGCAAUAUUAGACAAUUGAGAAUUAAUACUUUCGAACAAAUAAACUUCAUCAUAGAAUUCAAUGAUUAACACAUUUAAUAUUUAUGCAUACUCAAUGACAAGGCAUAUGAUGCAAACCAAACGGUAGCAACCACCACUGUAUUUACUUGCCUUCACCGGGAAUUUGGAAUGGUACUAAGUACGAUCCGGAAGUCCACCACCUGUUUUUGACACAUAUCUUAGUACACAAAUCAACAUAACAAAUGCUAAUAAACAACGCCGCACCUACGCACAAUUCCAACCCGUCGCGAGCGACAACUCUCCCCAUCACCACCAAACUGCAGCGACGCUGCUUGAUAAUUUCAUAACUUUAAAAUUAUAACAGCAGUGAUAUCAAUAAAAAACUCCGGAAGCAUUUACAUAAAAUUUCCCACAAGUUUUAUAUUCAAAUGGUAAUUAAAUUCCAACCCCUAAUUAGCCCAAAACAGUCCACAAGAUAAACCCUGCAAUCUGUUUUUGGACAGCAGCAUACCCGGAUUCAAACAGCGAUAUCCCCUAAAAUAUAACUCCGAAUCGAGCGCAUAAGUACUCGUUAGAAAGGUAUGACAAAGCUCUACAUGAUUAUCAUAUUGAUUAUCACUAAUUACCCACGAAAAAUCCCCAGAAACUACUAAUACUACUGCUGUUCGCCCACCUGCAAAUCUGUUUUUUUGGACAGCAACAUACCCGUAUUCAAACAGCGAUAUCUCCUAAAAUAUAACUCCGAAUCGAGCGCAUAAGUACUCGUUGGAAAGGUAUGACAAAGCUCUACAUGAUUCUCCCACUGAUUUCCACUAAUUACCCACGAAAAAUGCCCAGAAACUGCUAGAACUACUGCUGUUCGCCCACCCACAAAAUUUCUGGACAACACCUCUACCCAUUCGCAUACGUAAACAUCUAAUCGAUUGAAUUGCAGCACAAAUAAACAAGAGUUAAUCACAAAAUCACCUUGACUUCUCCUCCUUUCCUCUCUCCUUCCUUUAACCAAAUUCCAAAUGGAGAUUUGCACCCACGCGACGUAGAUCAAGCAGGAGGGCUGCACCUAGGAGAGGAGGAGAUGGGGGGCUAGGGUUUGUGGGAUGGUGGCUGCAAGAGUUUGAGGGAGGAGGAGAUGAGAGAGGGGGGCGGCUGCACAAAGGCUAGAGAGAGGGGGGGCUGCACAAGGGGGAGGGGAUUAGAGGGAGGGCGGCUAGGGUUAGGGGGGCUAGUGGGCCGGAUCGAGUUUCACGGCCCAACUCGCUAACACGACAGCUCCCGACCGCAGCGCAUGAGUCUAACCAAAAAUUCUACUGUUUUACUGGUAAAUGCUUCCCAAAAAUUCCAAACCCUUGUAGCAAAGGACCCGGAAGAGAAAACAAAGAAAAAAAAGAAUAAUCUUCUAUUUCUCUUCUUUUUUUUUGAAAAUUGGGUAUCACAGAUCAAUAUGAAUAAUGCUUCUCCCUAUUUGUCUUUAAAAGUGAGUGCAUCUAUCCAAUUCAUUCAUUUUCUUGAUGCAUAUCUUUAGGGGGAGCCUAUUUCUAUAUCUUAAUUAUAUUGAGACUAACACUUUAUCUUAGUAAUCUCAUAUAGUCUCAAGUAUGAGAGUAAAGUUUCUCAUGAAGUAUGCUACUACAUAUCAAUCCAUCUUGGUAUAGUAAUGACACCCUUAUCAAGGAUUGUAACUUUCAUUGCUAAAGUAGCAUAUUUACUGGAUUCUCCUCUUUCAAAGCUUAUCUAAUGCAUAUGUUGUUCUUUUGAUCACAUUUGUUAUUUGUUUGAUCAUUGAAUAAACACUUAUGUUUCUUAGUGCCGCAUAUUCUAUCAAUCAAUAUUUCUUGAUAUGCACUAAGUUAAAAGGAGAAUUCAUGAUACAAUUAUACAAUUUGUGAUCCACUUGAUAUAAAAUAACAAUGAUUUAGAAAAGGAUCACUAGUUGUAGAACCCUCUCUUGUGCAAAAUAUUUCCAUACACUGUCUUGAAUAUAGGUCUUAAAGUAACUAAGACUAAGGACAAAGCACAAUGAAGAGAGCGUCUCUAUGUGAAGGUACAAAAGGGUAAAACUACUUCCUCUCAUUUUUACAUGUACCUAAAUCUUCCUUUUCUAUACAUUCCUCGCUUAUCUUGUAUAAAAGGAAGAGAAAGCAUGUCUAGGCAAUAUCCCUGCUUCAUACAUUUCAUUCCUGCAUUUAUGCAAUUUUGUUACAACUAGGUGAAGUGAGUUUAUUGUCAAAGAGCUUAAAGCUUAACCUUGUAACGAGGAUAAGCUACCUUUGUUUCAAAGGUGGAGGGUCCUUAAGUCUCUUUGAAAUCCUUAAGGGUGAUUGCUUAAAAUGUUUUCAACAUGCUUUCAUAAGUGCAUAGUCUGUCAUGAGCAUCACACUUUUAUUAUGACACAUUGCACUUCACAGGUUCUAUAAAGAUAUGUUCUCAUUAACCUAACUAUGUGCACUUGGCAUUUAAGGCUAAAAUUUAUAUUCCUCUCAACGCACAAAUUUAGGGGGAGCAAUCUAUAGAACUGUUUAAGCUUAAUUGACAUAUCCUUUUAACCAUGUCUCUUUCCUUUGGUGCAUUUGCAUAUUUCCUAUCUCUCUUGUGCCAAGGCUAAGACUAAUAUGUUUUCAUGAGUAUCUUGUAUAUUAAGUCUUAAAUUGAAAGGGAAAUGGAGUUCGGCAAAGACAUCGCUUCCACUCUACAUCUUCGAUAUUAUCCUUCCUUGUCGGUAUUCCGCCAUCUCUCCAAAUUUGGUAUAAUCUUAACUCAUACAUUAUCUAUCAAAGGGGGAGAAAGUAUGAACAAGGGCUUAUAUUUCACUCACAAGUAUCCGUUUUUGGCGAUUCAUGCCAAAGGGGGAGAAAGUAUUAGCCCAAAGCAAAAGUACCGCACCACCACCAAUUUCAAAAAUUAUAGUCUUUCAAUUUGCAUUUAAAGAAGUAUUUUUAAUUGAUAUCUUAUUUUUGAUACAAUUUAAAAUUGGUAUAACCUCUCUUAAAAUUAAUAUCUAAAACCCUCUUGAACACUAAGAGGAUUUUAUUGAGGGGGAGUUUUGUCUAGUCAAAGGAAAAGCAUUUGAAACAGGGAGAGAAAAUUUCAAAUCUUGAAAAUGCUUCUCAAAAUCUUAUUCAUUUACCUUUGACUAUUUUGCAAUAGACUUUGAAAAGAAUUUCCAAAAGAGUUUGCAAAAACAAAACAAGUGGUGCAAGUGUGGUCCAAAAUGUUAAAAUUAAGAAAGCAAUCCUUACAUAUCUUAUGAAAAUGUAAAUUGGUUUAAUUCCAAGCAACCUUUGCACUUAUCUUAUGCAAACUAGUUCAAUUAUGCAUUUACAUAUUUGCUUUGGUUUGUGUUGGCAUCAAUCACCAAAAAGGGGGAGAUUGAAAGGGAAAUAGGGUCAAACCUUUUCCUAUAUGAUUUUGGUGGUUGAAUUGCUCAACACAAAUUAUUGGACUAACUAGUUUGCUCUAGAGUAUAUGUUCUACAGGUACCAAAGGUUUAACUCAAAACCAACACAAAGAUUAAAAAGGGUUCAAGAAGAAAGAUGCAAAGGAAACCGAAGUGCUCUCUGGUCUGGGGCACCGGACUGUCCGGUGCACCACUGGACAGCGUCCGGUGCACCAGGGAGGAACGACUUUAAACUCUUCACCUUCGGGUUUCCCAGGCGCACCUCCGCUAUAAUUCACCGGACUGUCCGGUGUGCCACCGGACUGUCCGGUGAGCCAGCGGAGCAACGACUAUCUACGCGCAACGAUCGACUUUGACAGUGAACAGUGCAGCACAGUACACGCGGCAGAAGUCAGAGCAGAUGGUCAGAGGGGCACCGGACUGUCCGGUGCCGCAUGAGGACAAAGCCUCCAACGAUCGACAAGCUCCAACCCUGACGAACAGGAUGACGUGGUGGCGCACCGGACACUGUCCGGUGGCACACCGGACUGUCCGAUGCACCCAUCGCCAGCAGCCAUCUCCAACGGCUACAUUUUGGUUGGUGGAUAUAAAUACCACCCCAACCGGCCACUUCAAGGUGUGGGAGCCCAAGCAACAUUCCAAGUCAUAUAGUUGACAUAUCCAAGCCCUCCCAACCACCUCUAUUCAUUAAUUCAUCCUAUACACAAGAUUUAGACCACUACACCCCACAUAAGUGCCACAAAAGUGAGAGCAAGCAAAAGAAAGCUUCUCGUGUGAGUUUAGCUCUAGUGCCUUUUGAGAUUCAUUGAGAGAAAGUGUGUGCUACAUCUUGCGUUCAUUUGUGCGUGGAGUUUUGACUCCCAUUGAACUUCCUCCAAAGUUUUGGAGGCUUGUAAAGCUAGCAAGAGACACCAAAGUGUGUGGUGAUCCUUGCGGGGUCUUAAGUGAUCCUUGAGAAGAAGAAGAGCUCGCCGAUCUUGGGGAUCAAUUGAGAGAGGGAAAGGGUUGAAAGAGACCCGUCCUUAGUGAACUCCUCAACGGGGACUAGGCCUUUGAGGGCCGAACCUCGGUAAAACAAAUCACCCGUGUCUCUUGUGUUUAUUGCUUGUGAUUUGUUUGUUCUUUCCCUUUCUAAGUUCUCUUGCGCUACUCUUUGCUAAUAUUAUUGUGUGUUGCUUCAAGAUAAAUUCUCAUUUAGAGAAGCAACUCCUUGCAAGAAAGAACUUGUGCUUAUCUUCUUCUUAUCUAAGCCCUCUUGCAUUAUUCUCCACUAACAUUUCUAGGAGUAUUGCUAUUGAUUAAAAUUCCGCACUCUUUGAAAACAAUACUCGUUGCAAGCAAAGGACUUAGUUUUAUACUCCGAUAAUUGUGUGUCUUGUUCUAACCACUAAUCAAGGGAUCUAGUUGGGGGAUAAAGUUUUUAAUUUUCUGGUUUCGCCUAUCCACCCCCCUCUAGGCGACUUUCAACCCUUUUCCUCUUCCAUGUCCUGCUCUACUCGCCCCUUUGACGUCAUUCAUUAUGACCUUUGAACAUCCCCCAUUUCCAGCAUCUUCGGUAUGAGGUACUAUCUUGUCAUUCUAGAAGACUUCUCUCACUACUUGUGGACCUUUCCCCUCCACCGUAAGUCUGACACCUUCUCCCACCUUUCUAACUUCUUCACGUGGGUGUCGACUCAGUUCGAUCAUUCCAUCCAGGUUGUUUAGUGUGACAAUGGACAUGAGUUUGAUAACUCUUCGUCUCGCACCUUCUUUCUCUCCCACGGCGUACAUCUGCGGAUGUCGUGCCCCCACACCAACCCUCGGAAUGGUCGAGUCAAGCGCAUGAUUCGCACCAUCACCAACAUGUCAUGUUGCCUGCUAUUUCAGGUUUCUCUUCUCGCCCGCUACUAGGCUGAGGCCAUGAACACAACCACCUACCUCCUCAAUCGUCUUCCCUCCAAGGCGGUUUUCCAUCCCACUCCUGUUGGGGAUAUAAUCCCCGUCCCCUAGGGCCUAUCGGUCAGUGAGCACACUGGGUAAAGGCUUCUGGCAACUGGGUCCCAAAGAUCAGUCGGAGGAAAUAGGUAACAUCUACACUGGAAGAACCCGGCUUCGGACGAACUCUACAGCACUGAGCCUGGGGUCGGGCGUGGCGGAACCGGACAGGGUGUCAGACGCGUUGAAGGGAAACCACUCGAGUGGAUCUCGCGUGUGGCCCAAGACCGACCCAUCAUAAAACGAUCGAUCACAUUAACUACGUGUGGCGCCACACCACAGCGGAGGCGUCGGUCUGCCUCCCACUUCAUCUAAAGAAAUGUAUCAUUAUUCUCCACGUUGUUCAUAGCCUAGAUCUAUUAUUUACAGUUAGACUGGUCCAGAGUGGUUUCACCGCCCUUGGUAGCGAUUGAACUGACCUGCACAGUCGAACUGAUAAUUUGAUUUUAUUUUAAAGUUUGUGGUGAAAAUUUUAGGUGUAGUCUAUUCACCCAUCUCUACUUUCAAUACCGCACAAUAAAUUUCAUAUCUUGUAUGGUGAAUUCUUCCCUUUGUUGUUGAAUUUAUUUCUUGUACAUUCGUAGAGCUUUGUUACUAUAGGUUGCAAACCUAUUUUAGUUCAACUUUGGUUGGACUAUUUAAUUCUCUUAUGAUUCUAACUAAAUGUAAUGAGCGUGUUCAAUUUCAUAUCCUUCAUCCUACAAUAUCCAGAUGUUUUGUGCAAUAUCAAUUUUUUUGCCUAGCUAGACUUUACAGUAGAUAGUAAAAAAUCCAAACGUACCCCAAACGUCUUUAGCUGGGCAAAGUGAGGUAAAGCCCUAGCAAGAGAUUCGAACAACUUUUUUUUGGGGGAUGGAGGGUGUACUCCUGAAGCCCUAGCAAGAGAUUCUGCAAGAGAUUCUGCAGUUUAUAGAAACUUAUGACAUUGUAGUAUAUACAUGACGUGAUAAAGAUUGGCGCAACUUUAUAAGCCAUGUCAAAAAAUAUGUACAAUUACCGACAUCUACAGAAAUUAUUUCAUGCAUUGAAAAUACUUUAACAGAUUGAUUUUAAGUAAGAUGUUUAAUCCACCGAACGGCCCAAGCCCACUGGAGGCCUGGUGGGUGCACGCUAAGAGGUCUGUUUAACGUUUUGCUAGCGAACCAGAUUGUAAAGGCAUAUAGGAAGCCCGACGUCUAGACAGAUGUCAGCAUUGUAAGUUAAUGGGCCGAAGUUGUACAGUGAACCAUCUCCCACCUUUGACACUUCGCGCUCCCCAUCCAAACCGUACUGAUCCGCCGGCCGCCGUUCUCCAUUUCAAAUUGCAAACCUAUACUCCUUUUCCGCCUCCUCGACGCAACUCGUCGCCGUCUUCUCCAACUCGCACUUCGUCCCUCGCCCCACCCAGGGGCGGAUCUCCACCCGGGGCUGCCUGGGCUGCAGCCCCUGUCGGCAGUCGCGGCCCAGUCCAUCAUCGCGCGACAUGACCUAGCAGUAGCAGCAGACGUCCUACGUCCAGCCCCAGCCGCCGCCGUUUGGCUCCUGCGUUCGAUCUCGCUGCGUCCUGGUCCUGCGCCCUGCGGUCCAGCCUCCUCUCCAAGACUCCACUUCUCCAGCGCGCUCGCCCGCGCCAGCCGCCAGGCCGCCACCGGCCACCGCCAUUGGCCCCACCAUUUGCCGCUCCCGCCUACGAUGCCGACGAGUGAGGUGUGGAGCUUGUCCGAUUUUGAAAUCAGCAAGUACAUCGCUGAGGGCAGGUUCGGCAAGGUCUACCUCGCCCGCGAGAAGCAGGUCUGCCCAAUCAGCCCCUUCCAAUGCUCUUGAUUUACCCCAAAAUAUUGCCUACAUGGAAGUUAAUCUACGCGCGGGGACGAUCCAGAGCGGGUACGUGGUGGCGCUCAAGGUGAUAUUUAAGGCGAAACUGAAGAAGCACCGCUUCCACGCGCACCUACGGCGGGAGAUCGAGAUCCAGCAGAGUCUCGACCACCCUAACGUGCUCCGCCUCUUCACCUGGUUCCACGACGAAGAGCGAGUCGUCCUCGUCCUCGAGUACGCGGCCCGUGGCGAGCUCUACAAGGUCCUUCGCGCUGCUGGCCGCUUCACCGAGCGCACGUCCGCCACAGUAAAAAACCCCCCGUUUUCCUUUUGCUUCACUUUUAUUUCCCGGUUGUGCCUACGGCUGGAUUGCCAUUCCUCCUACUGUUAUUAACCUAAAUCAUGUUAACCUGAACCAUAAUAACCGAUGCAAAGUCUCAUGUGACAGCGACUGUGUACAUACAAAGUUCCCUAGGCAGCUAGACCAUGAGCCGAGUAGUUAUAUGGUUGGUAAUUCUGUGAUAUUACUUCUAUUCAGGUCAUGAAUGGUAGCAAGAAAGUUUUGAGUAAUGGCCUAACUUGAUUUUACUGGAAUCAGAUAUCGUGUAUGACAGGAGUCAUCAAUUGCUGGUACAUUGUGUGCAAUGGUCAAUGGUUACAAGUUACAUCAAAGGCAGUUGACAUUGAACAAAAUUCGAUAUUUGCAAAUUCUUAGUGCCAUUUAAUAAGCUUUCAAAAUGAUAUUUUGGAUUUUAUGGAUCUUUGCAUUAUCUGAUUGCAGCAUUAAGUACUCUUUAGAAACUCUUAAUGUAUUUCCUAGGAGUAUAAGUUAAGCUGAACCAAAUGUUUAUGUGAACUGCUAAUCAUGUGUCACACAUGCAGUGCGCUCUGCAGUUUAUGACUUUAUUGCCGUGAACCCAUACAUUUAUACACAAAACAUAGAGAGAAUGCAUGACAUCUCUUUUAACAUGACACUGUCUCAGUCUCAACUUGUGAUGAUGCCAUUAUUGCCAAGAACUUGUGCUGCCAUUGGCAUACCACACCCUAGAGCAUGGUGUGUGUGUGUGUGUAUGCAGGUUUCCUUCUGGUUUGCCAUUCUUUUGUUAGAUUGUGAUAACCAUGAAUCUUAUGUGUUUUAGUAUGUAGCGAGUCUUGCUGGUGCACUGGCAUACUGUCACAAAAAGCAAGUCAUUCAUAGGGACAUCAAGCCUGAGAAUUUGCUAAUCGACAUCGAGGUUGGUUCUUCUUUAUGAAGUUGUUGCGGCUGUUAUUGUUUCUAGCACCAUAUUUGAUUCAUGCGUUUAUUCUGUUGUUAUUUAUUGUUGCAAACAAUUUUAUCCGUGUAUGUCUUUGUACUUUUACUGUUUUGUGUUGUUGUAAUUUACUAACUUUUAUUACCAGAUGGCUUUAAAAAAACUUGACAUGUGGGGGUAAAACUGCCACACGACAUUAUAUUAAGAAGACCAUCUCAGCAGGUCGAGAAAACCCCUGCCCCACCCAUACACGGCGAAACCGUAGCCCAUAUAAGAACGACCGCGACUCGGGCUAGACCUUAGACCUGUGCUUUGGCGUGGGACGGACGAGGUGAUUUUUUAAACCAUGGACUAAAAUUCGCUCCCACUGUUAUGACUAGAGAUGGUAUUGGGGAAUUGAGGAUGGAUUGGAACAGGGGAUUGGAGGCUAGAACCCCGGCCGGGCAAGAAGAAGUACUAUCCUUGUUCUUGCUUGCCUUAGACUGAUACAAUCCCUCUCCUUAUAUAGAGAGGUUACCUUGGACUCUACGUAACUUGGACCCUAAGCAAUAGAUCUAAUAUUCUAAUCUUAUCUCUAACUAAUCUUAUCUAAUCCCCCUUAUAGGGCCCAUGGCUGCUGGUGCCACAGCCCCUCCGUGGGCCUCCUGUAACGACCUAACCUAUCAUCGAAAAAUGAACCUUUUACAUAUCGACUGGUUUUUUAAUUUUUCUAGAAAUAUUGCAACUGCAAGCAUCAUCCUGUUUCCCAAUGAAACGUUACACAACGAAGAGGAGAGUGUGAGCUGAAACCACGGAGGUAAAGACACAACAACCUUCGGAGGCCCGUGGAGGCCUACGUUGGUGUUGCCUGUAGCAAGUGGAUCCCGUGCAGCGCAACCCCUCUUGGUCCUGUGGCCACCAGUGCACAGAGGGUGGCGUGGCUAGAGCAGAGGGUGGCAAGGCCACCAGACCCCCUUGUACGAAGGAGAGUAGUCGAGGUAGUUUCUCGGUCGCCACAGAUGAGGGCCAGCGCCGGACAGAGCGAUGCAGAGGGGCGUCGUGUCUUGCAGCCUCUCGUACGGUGAGGUGAACAACCACCAUGUUGCUCAGCCGCGCUGGUGCAGUUAUGACUCCCCGCAAUGGAGCAUCGCCAACAUUUGCUUCACUCGUCGACGCGCUAGUAAACCGCGUGCUGCAACCUGCAGGUGGACGAUCGUCGUUGUCUGUCAUGGAGCAACCACACUCUGCUAGAUGUCGCUCUUGGGGUCAAGGGUAGCGGUGAUGGCUGCCCCUGAUGACGGGGGCGGUGUCGGCGACGAGGACACGACAAACGUGGCAGCAGAAGUCGCCACUACCGCGAGGGAACCAAAGCGCUGCUGGCACAUGAUCUUGAACUGUGGCCACGUGACCUAAUGCUCGCCGUGUUCCAGCCACUAGAACCACGUAUGUGCGUGGCCCAUGAGGUGAUACUAUGCCAACUAGGCCUUGUCGGACUCCAGGGUGCGCUGGCUCCAGAAGAACCGUUCGCUGUCGUUUAACCAUCCCAGAGGGUCACCGCUGCCAUCGUAGAUGGGCAAGGAGUGGGGUGUUACGGUCACCGGCAUGGUAGCAGCAGCGAGGGUUGGCGCCAGGGGCUGGUAUACCAGUCCUAGUAUGGUUGCCCCUAGUGUCGUCAGCCAUGCAGCCGAUGAUGAAGACAACCUCGAGGGUGCAAAGCAACUGGUAGGCAUCGCUGUUCACAAAGAUGUAGGUGCCAAAACGGCCGAUGACGACCAGGCCGUUAUUGGCGUGCUGCUGGAGAGCGCCAUGCUGAUGGUGUUGAGCCAUUGAGCCACGCAAACAGAUUGUCGAAGUACACCUCGGGAACCUAAGCAAACAGAAUGUCGAAGUACACCUCGGGAACCUAAGGACCAUGAGAGGCAGAGGCGUGGUCGUGGGCCGCUCGUACUGUGUGACGUUGGUGUCAGGGUUCCAGUAGUAGAGGUAGCUGGUGAUGUCGUCGACGAGCCCGCGCCAUGGCUUGGGCAGCGAUGGGUCUUUCAGCGCGUACCACGGGGCUACGCGCCCGAACGAGCCACUACCGCGCGACAUCGGGUCCGAUUGGGUCUAGGAAACCCGUUGUGGCGCCCGGCGGCGUGGGGCAGAGGCGUCCUGAUGGUGCAGAGGGUGUCGCAACCUGCCGGCAUGGAGGUGGAGGCGGUAGCGGACCCAGAUCAGCGAGGCCUCUGGCGUGGAAGUGGCCUGGCGGGGGGCGCAGAGUGGGUCGCCGGGCUGCACGCGAGGGAUCACGCGUCGGCGCUAGCGGGUCAGCUGUAUGCACGUUGUUUGAGGUGUGGUGGUGAGUGACUACGUAGAUGUGGCGGACGCACGAUGGAGAUGUGGUUGCGGCUAUGCGUUGCGGGCGAUAGCGCAGGAACAGACGCGAUGGAAGGGCGGUGGGAAAAAAAUUGGCUCCAAAUACUAGAUUGUUUUGACUAGAGAUGGGAUUGGGGAAUUGAGGAAGGAUUGGAACAUGGGAUUGGAGGCUAGAACCUCGGCCGGGGGCCUUUCGCCCACGGCCGGGGGCCUUUCGCCCACGGCCGGGGGCCUUUCGCCCACGGCCGGGGGCCUUUCGCCCACGGCUGGGCAAGAAGAAGUAUUAUCGUUGUUCUUGCUUGCCUUAGACUGAUACAAUCCCUCUCCUUAUAUAGAGAGGGUACCUUGGACUCUAAGCAAUAGAUCUAAUCUUCUAAUCUUAUUUCUAACUAUCCUUAUCUAAUCCCUUUGGAGGAUCCAUGGCUGUUGCUGCCACAUCCCCUCCGUGAGCCUCCUUAGGCCCUGAUACGGGUAGUCGAAUUUAGGACAUGAGUGCUAUUCAGACCAUCUAACCAACUUAGCUAGAGGCCUUUUAGCUUUACCAGACGGUCUUAUUCUACAAAAAAAUGAAUUUUAAUAUCUAAGGGUAGUGCCUGUAGUUUUUGCACCAUUUCGUUAUAAGAAUAUAAUAGAACCAUUACGUUGAGUUUGCUCAAGAAUCCAAUUUACAGCUUUUUCUCAUAGGUUGAAAAUUAUCUCUAAAUGUUUGCCCUUCUUAAGUGUACAUUAUAAAAGUAUUUUACUGUUUAUGCAAACAAUGCAGACUUGGCUCUUUGCAAGGGUUUAGGGUUUAGAGUAAGGGCAAUUCAUCUUGAAUACAAGUUACACCUGGACAGGAUAUAUAUCAUGCAUCUGAAUAAAUCUGAAAACACAUAUAACAGUUUAUUGCCGGUUCACUAACAUACGUGGAGAAAUGGUUAUACAAAUGUUUCUUCAAUGCCUCAUUUCUGAAAAACUGCAUUGUCGUGUGAUGGGUAUUAUUCUUGACGCAUCAAAUGCUAGGUGAUGAUUUGAUAACUAGUUAACUUUUUCUCCAGGGCCGGCUUAAAAUUGCAGAUUUUGGAUGGGCGGCUCGUUCAAAUGCUAAACGCCACACACUCUGUGGCACAAUCGAUUAUCUGGCACCAGAGAUGGUAGAGAAAAAAGCUCAUGACCAUGCUGUGGACAACUGGACAUUAGGAAUCCUGUGCUAUGAGUUCUUAUAUGGUUCACCUCCUUUUGAAGCUGAUGAACAGGAUGAUACCUUGAGAAGGUAUGGGCUGAUAGAUCUGUUUUUUCUCUCUUCCUGGUCUUCAUUCCUUAUCAUUUUGUGCCAUGUGAAUUUUGUGCAGGAUAGUUAGGGUGGAUUUGGCAUUCCCUUCAUCUCCUUGUGUAUCUUCAGAGGCUAAGGAUCUCAUUUCCAAGGUGACAUCUAAAAGUAGUGGUUAUAUAAGAGAUUAAUCAAAAGUGAUGGGUGUUGCCUGAACUAUUGAUUGUUAAGUGUGAUUGUGUAUGCAGCUUCUAGUUAAGGAUUCAAGCAAGAGGCUUUGCCUUGAAGACAUCAUGAAGCAUCCAUGGAUAAAGAAGAAUGCAGACCCUUCAGGCAGUUGCAUUAAGCAAAAAGAUGUCACAAGAUCAAAGGUAAAACGAUAAGUGAAUAUGCAAGAUAUCUUCUGAGCCAUGGUGUUUAGUGUUCUUGUUCCUUGGAGAUAACCAUGGUGUUUAGUGUAAGUAGAAGCCAGCCUAUGUACUGUGAUCUUAGUUAUGGACCAUGUGUCGAAGUUGCUAAACUUCUGUUGCCUGCCUCAUCUGGGGAGGCAAUUAAUCUUAGCUUUUGUGUGGAUACAGUAGUUCCAUAUUUUUCAGCCCCUCUGUGAUAUAUAGAUGUUUGGCGGGUGGGCGCUUUUAUUUUGCUAUUAUGGACUCAUUGACAUUGUGCUUCGGUAAAGAAAUUUGGGCUUACCGUUGUAAAAAAAACACACUGGUGUUAUCUGAUUACUAUGCUGAGUAUGAAAAAAAUAUAAGUUAAUUUUAUUUUGGCCUCAUUGGCAUGGUAUUCUUGCUUAGCUUCACAUGUCUAUUUUUUAUCAUAUAGUUUGCUCUCAAAUGCAAAUAAUAAAACUAUGGAUUACACUCACAAGAAUAAGUAGCUAGUAUAUAUUUGAAUGUGAUAAAACACUUCAAUCCCAGCUCAGCUACUUGGUCUGGAUAAAAGGACGACUUUUUCCUUUUAGUUUCUGAUCAAUCUGCAUGUUCUUCUAGACGAGAAGGGCACCUUUUAGUUAUCAGAAAUAGAUAUAAUGUGUAAUAUCAGUACGACAUUCACAGCUAAUUUGGUCUCGGUUUUCUCUACAGCUUCUGUAAUAUCAGUACAACGUGCUUGCCAGUGGGCAAGAACCUUCUGAUGUGGUGCCAAACUCGUCACUACUGGAGGACAAAUAUAAUGACCUGUUGUAGUUUUAAGUUCCGAUAGUUCUGGAGUGGAUUGGUGUGUGUGUGUAUCCCUGCAAGCUUUCUCCUACAGGCUGGAGUUCUAGUUCUGAUACAGCGUUUGUGUUACCCUUUUGAACUGAGUGGUGAAACCAAUGUUCACUGGAGAGGAAUGUAGUUUUCAACUGAGUUGUUGAACCUUCGCGAAUUGGAGGGUCAAUGGUCUGUGGAGAUUGGAGAGGAACGUGGCUUUCGCUGUGGCGAUCGUAUUUUGUAAUUGUCGAAUCUACAGUAUUUUGGUCUUUAGCAAUGAAAUAUGGAGAUGCCCGUAGUUUUUCUAUGACGCGAAAAGGGAGGGAAAAACUGGUAAUUUCAAAUGGCCAUAUAUCUAUUAUUCUGAGUUUAAUGGCUGUCUAGUCUUGAUGCACACAGAGAAUGGAAGUCCUAUUGUCUUCUUCAAAAGUUGGUACCAACAUCGUUCAAAAUCUGCACACUGCAGCUAAGCCUGGGCAUAUUACCUGUUAAUCGAACCUGAAAAAUCUGGACUUAUCCAAAUCUGCAGUACCGAAUUCUAGUUUGAUAGUAAAUGCUAUUACCCGAAUUUAGUUUGGAUAAUUCGGAUAGCAGCACAGGUGCUCGAAAUAGUGCCAGUGUGUGUCACCUGGCCCCUAGCACGUGUGGAUGUUUCAGUCCAACAGGAAACACGCGGACAUGGGCCACGCGGCCCAUCAACAAAUCAGUCCGCUUCCUCCAUGGCUCUGUCCAUAAGGUGCCCUCCCUAGUCCCUAUUCUGGCAUUCGACAUCUCGACCACUCCCCAGGCCCUAGUAGCUUCCAAUCCCUCCAUAACCUAGCUGCCACCCGUCGCUCUCCUUGUGCCCGCCUGCCCAGAGGCUAGAUAGCCGGACGCCAGAGCGACCUCCAGUGCCUGGAGGCCGGAGCGACCAUGACGGUGUCACGAUGCUCGCCGUCGCUGCCUCCUUCGUCCACCUCUGUCCUCUGACCUCUACUCCUCACAAGUCACAACCUCACUCACCUCACUGGUUAAGGAUCGCGAGUGUUGAGGUUGACGAUGCUGUUCGGGUAAAUUGGAUAUAACUGAACCCGCGGGUAGCGUUUUGGUAAGACUGUGAUCGGGUAACAAAAUAUAUUACUCGAAUUUAUCAAAACUAGAAUUACCUGACCCGAACUAAUCGGGUAACCCGAACAUCCCGAAUCUUAACUGCAGCUACAGACAACUAGGUUUUUUUAUCUCAAACAUGUACGAUAGCUACGUAUCAUUUUAUUAAAGAGAGAAAGAAACAACAUAUUACAAAAGAGGCCAACACAGCCUUCCCCCGCCACACACACAUACACUCAACACAACAUGCAGGCUACAACCCCAAGAACACCUCAACCUAAGUCAACCACAUAAGGUGAGAGCAAGGACAAACCUUUUGCUCCAACCAUACACCACAAUCUAAAAUCAUUUUCAGCAAGAAUAAGGGCCUUGGAAAUACUAGACCGCACACCAUUGAGCAUAGUCAUUACGGUGGCAGCCACCAAAGACACCAAGCCACGUUCCUCACCACAUUACUCCAUUCCCCUUACCUACUACCAAUGUUUAUAUAACUCUCUAUUUUUUUUCAUUUUACCCUCCUCUUUUGAGUUGGUUUAAUUUAACCAUUAACAAGAUUUUUCUUUUUAGUUCUUUAUGUACAAACUGAGUUUUCAGUCAAUUUUUUUAUUAGUAGCUAAUAGCAUAAUUUAGUUUAGAAAAUAAAUUAUAUUUUUAUAAUUACUUUUAUAGGUUAGGGAUCUGAUAAGACAAAAAUUUAAUGCUACAAAACUUAAUAUAAAAUAAUGAUGAAAAUUAUUAACAUAUUUUUCAAUAUAAGGUAUGAUGUCUUUAAUCACCUCAAAAAAUAUGAAUUUAAAAUUUAAUUUAUACAUGUAGAAACGAAAAGGACGAUCUUAUUAGAGAGAUUUUUAUUUUUUUUGUUUCUCUAUGUAUAAGUUAAAUUUGAAGUUUGUAUUUUCUAGGUGAUUGAGAAAAUCAUAAUUUAUGGAGAAAAAAUGUUAUUUUUUUCAUUAUUAAAGUUAUUAUUUUAUUUUAAGUUUAUAUUUAAUUUUAUCUUAUUACAGUUAUUAUUUUAUCUAAUUACUAACCUAUUAAAAAUAAUUAUAAAAAACAUAAUAUAUUUUGCUAAACUAAAUUAUGUUGUUAGCUACUAAUAGGUAAAAUUUUGAACUGAAAAUUCAGUUUGAAAUUGAAAAGGACAAAUUUCUAUUAAGGUGUAAACUGAACGGACUCAAAGAAAUGGAGGGAUAAAAUGAAUUGAAAAAUAAUUUAGGUAGUUACACGAACAUUGUCGAGAGUAAUGUGGGGGUUUUUUCUAGAAUAAAAAGGAUUGUCAAAAUAAGCUAGGUUGAUUCUGUUUUUUAUACAAAUAACAAGAGUAGGAAUAAGUGAGGCUGGAAUGAAGUAAAAAAACAUAUCGUUUGGGCGUUGAUUUUAGCUUAUUUUAACCAAUAGCUUAUAAGCUACACAGACAGAUCAAAUAACUUCAGUACAUAGGAGCUUUAUAAUAUUAUAUAGAAUUUAGAAGAAUCGAUUUUAUUUUGACAUAGAACACAUAAAAAGCAAGCGUUUGAAAAAAAGAAGAGGCUAGGCCAAGCCGUGACCGUGAUGCUUUCUUUUUUGUGCCACCGUUUUCGAGCCACUUUCGACGAUCCGAGCAGAGCAAGCGAAACCACUACGUAAUCGGGUACAUGGAUUCUAUUCCAAAAUUUUGCCAUCACAAGAAGCCUUAUGAGGCAAGAUGCAUGGAUUCAACUAAAACCUUUACACCAGACUGACCUUGCCUUAAUCUUUGAUCCAAGAUGCAAUAAUGAAUAGAUACAUAACACAAGUUGAGCAGUCUUUUAUGCUUUGUAUUUCCUUUUUACAUAAGUUUCGAACACCAUGUCGUCACAUAAAACAAGAGAACUGACAUCCUUAUCACUCAUUGAUGCUUGUUCAUCUACUUCUGCAACAUUUAUAUGACAUUCAUUCUUAGCUACAGAGAAAAUUUGUUGCUUUCGAACAAGCAUCUGCCCGUAGGGAGUGAAAAAAAAAACAAUCUGUCUGCCAAGCUGCGCAAUCGACAUUUGAGGCAAGGCUACAACCAAAUAGCUAAUAAAUAAAGAACCUAAAGGCUCAGCAUAUCCCUUGUCAGCAGAGAAAGGAAAAAUGGACCUGCAGCAUGUGGUAUUGCCACAAUGUACUAUCAGGAUGCAGCAGCUGUGUACUGCACCAUGUCAUGCUCAUAUAUUGUAUCUGUUAUCCUCGAUAAGUAUCGGAGCACAGAUCUCCCAAGGAUGUUCUUAAAUGGAAGUGGACCCCUGCAGAAACCAUACAACACGUGAGCUAUUGCUGUAGAAACUGGGGUUAAAAAUGAAACAUAAAGCAUCUAUUUUAGUUCAACUUAUGUUGGAGUAUUUAAUUCUCUUAUGAUUCUAACUAAAUUUACUCAGCGUGUUCAAUUUUAUUUAAAACUGUCUAUUCGCGUCUCUUCUAGCUGGCAUCCUUCAUCCUACAACAUCCAAAUGUUUUGUGCAAUAUCAAUUUCUUGCCUAUACAGUAGAUAGUAAAAGAUCCAAACGUACCCCAAACGUCUUUAGCUGGCAAGGUGAGGUAAAGCCCUAGCAAGAGAUUCGAACUACUUUUUCUGGGAUGGAGGGUGUACUCCCGAAGGAAGUUUAUAGAAACUUACGACAUUGUAGUAUAUACAUGUUGGCGCAACUUUAUAAGCCAUGUAAAAAAAAUGUACAGUUACCGACAUCUACACAAAUUAUUUCAUGCUUUGAAAUUACUUUAACAGAUUGAUUUUAAGUAAGAUGUUUAAUCCGCAGAACGGCCCAAGCCCACUAGAGGCCUGGUGGGUGCACGCUAAGGGGCCUGUUUAACGUUUUGCUAGCGAACCAGAUUGCAAAGCCAUAUAGGAAGCGCGGCGUCUAGACAGAUGUCGGUAUUGUAAGUUAAUGGGCCGAAGUUGUACAGUGAACUAUCUCCCACCUUUGGCACUUCGCGCUCCCCAACCAAACGGUACUGAUCAGCCGGCCGCCGUUCUCCAUUUCAAAUUGCAAACCCGUUCUCCUUUUCCGUCUCCUCGACGCAACUCGUCGCCGUCUUCUCCAACUCGCACCUCGUUCCUCGCCCCACCAUUUGCCGCUCCCGCCUACGAUGUCGACGAGUGAGGUGUGGAGCUUGUCCGAUUUCGAAAUCAGCAAGUACAUCGGUGAGGGCAGGUUCGGCAAGGUCUACCUCGCCCGCGAGAAGCAGGUCUGCCCAAUCAGCCCCUUCCAAUUCUCUCGAUUUACCCUAAAAUAUCGCCUACAUGGAAGUUAAUCUACGCGCGGUGACGAUCCAGAGCGGGUACGUGGUGGCGCUCAAGGUGAUAUUUAAGGCGAAACUGCAGAAGUACCACUUCCACGCGCACCUGCGGCGGGAGAUCGAGAUCCAGCAGAGUCUCGACCACCCUAACGUGCUCCGCCUCUUCACCUGGUUCCACGACGAAGAGCGAGUCGUCCUCGUCCUCGAGUACGCGGCCCGUGGCGAGCUCUACAAGGUCCUUCGCGCUGCUGGCCGCUUCACCGAGCGCACGUCCGCCACAGUAAAAAACCCCCCCGUUUUCCUUUUGCUUCACUUUUAUUUCCCGGUUGUGCCUACGGCUGGAUUGCCAUUCCUCCUACUGUUAUUAACCUAAAUCAUGUUAACCUGAACCAUAAUAACCGAUGCAAAGUCUCAUGUGACAGCAACUGUGUACAUACAAAGUUCCCGAGAACUAGGCAGCUAGACCAUGAGCCGAGUAGUUAUAUGGUUGGUAAUUCUGUGAUAUUACUUCUAUUCAGGUCAUGAAUGGUAGCAAGAAAGUUUUGAGUAAUGGCCUAACUUGAUUUUACUGGAAUCAGAUAUCGUGUAUGACAGGAGUCAUCAAUUGCUGGUACAUUGUGUGCAAUGGCCAAUGGUUACAAGUCACAUCAAAGGCAGUUGACAUUGAACAAAAUUCGAUAUUUGCAAAUUUUUAGUGCCAUUUAAUAAACUUUCAAAAUGAUAUUUUGGAUUUUAUGGAUCUUUGCAUUAUCUGAUUGCAGCAUUAAGUAUUCUUUAGAAACUCUUAAUGCAUAGGAGUAUAAGUUAAGCUGAACCAAAUGUUUAUGUGAACUGCUAAUCAUGUGUCACACAUGCAGUGCGCUCUGCAGUUUAUGACUUUAUUGCCCUGAACCCAUACAUUUAUACACAAAACAUAGAGAGAAUGCAUGACAUCUCUUUUAACAUGACACUGUCUCAGUCUCAACUUGUGAUGAUGCCAUUAUUGCCAAGAACUUGUGCUGCCAUUGGCAUACCACACCCUAGAGCAUGGUGUGUGUGUGUGUAUGCAGGUUUCCUUCUGGUUUGCCAUUCUUUUGUUAGAUUGUGAUAACCGUGAAUCUUAUGUGUUUUAGUAUGUAGCGAGUCUUGCUGGUGCACUGGCAUACUGUCACAAAAAGCAAGUCAUUCAUAGGGACAUCAAGCCUGAGAAUUUGCUAAUCGACAUCGAGGUUGGUUCUUCUUUAUGAAGUUGUUGCGGCUGUUAUUGUUUCUAGCACCAUAUUUGAUUCAUGCGUUUAUUCUGUUGUUAUUUAUUGUUGCAAACAAUUUUAUCCGUGUAUGUCUUUGUACUUUUACUGUUUUGUGUUGUUGUAAUUUACUAACUUUUAUUACCAGAUGGCUUUAAAAAAACUUGACAUGUGGGGGUAAAACUGCCACACGACAUUAUAUUAAGAAGACCAGCUCAGCAGGUCGAGAAAACCCCUACCCCACUCAUACACGGCGAAACCGUAGCCCAUAUAAGAACGACCGCGACUCGGGCUAGACCUUAGACCUGUGCUUUGGCGUGGGACGGACGAGGUGAUUUUUUAAACCAUGGACUAAAAUUCGCUCCCACUGUUAUGACUAGAGAUGGUAUUGGGGAAUUGAGGAUGGAUUGGAACAGGGGAUUGGAGGCUAGAACCCCGGCCGGGCAAGAAGAAGUACUAUCCUUGUUCUUGCUUGCCUUAGACUGAUACAAUCCCUCACCUUAUAUAGAGAGGUUACCUUGGACUCUACGUAACUUGGACCCUAAGCAAUAGAUCUAAUCUUCUAAUCUUAUCUCUAACUAAUCUUAUCUAAUCCCCCUUGGAGGGCCCAUGGCUGCUGCUGCCACAUCCCCUCCGUGGGCCUCCUUAGGCCCUGACACUCACCCCCACUGGACAAGCAGCUCGUUCUCGAGCUGCAACAUUCAACAAACGACCUGUAAAGACCUUAGCUAUCAUCGAAAAAUGAACCUUUUACAUAUCGAUUGAUUUUUUAAUUUUUCUAGAAAUAUUGCAACUGCAAGCAUCAUCCUGUUUCCCAAUGAAACGUUACACAACGAAGAGGAGGGCGUGAGCUGGAACCACGGAGGUAAAGACACAGCAACCUUCGGAGGCCCGUGGAGGUCGACGUUGGUGUUGCAUGUAGCAAGUGGAUCCCGUGCAGCGCAACACCUCUUGGUUCUGUGACCACCAGUGCACAGAGGGUGGCGUGGCUAGAGCAGAGGGUGGCAAGGCCACCAGAUCCCCUUGUACGAAGGAGAGUAGUCGAGGUAGUUGCUCGGUCGCCACAGAUGAGGGCCAGCGCCGGACAGAGCGAUGCAGAGGGGCGUCGUGUCUUGCAGCCUCUCGUACGGUGAGGUGAACAACCACCAUGUUGCUGGGCCGCGCUGGUGCAGUUACGACUCCCCGCAAUGGAACAUCGCCAACAUCUGCUUCACUCGUCGACGCGCUAGUAAACCGCGUGCUGCAACCUGCAGGUGGACGAUCGUCGUCGUCUGUCGUGGAGCAACCACACUCUGCUAGACGUCGCUCUUGGGGUCAAGGGUAGUGGUGAUGGCUGCCCCUGAUGACGGGGGCGGUGUCGGCGACGAGGACACGACAAACGUGGCAGCAGAAGUCGCCACUACCGCGAGGGAACCAAAGCGCUGCUGGCACAUGAUCUUGAACUGUGGCCACGUGACCUGAUGCUCGCCGUGUUCCAGCCACUAGAACCACGUAUGUGCGUGGCCCAUGAGGUGAUACUAUGCCAACUAGGCCUUGUCGGACUCCAGGGUGCGCUGGCUCCAGAAGAACCGUUCGCUGUCGUUUAACCAUCCCAGAGGGUCACCGCUGCCAUCGUAGAUGGGCAAGGAGUGGGGUGUUGCGGUCACUGGCAUGGUAGCAGCAGCGAGGGUUGGCGCCGGGGGCUGGUAUACCAGUCCUAGUAUGGUUGCCCCUAGUGUCGUCAGCCAUGCAGCCGAUGAUGAAGACAGCCUCGAGGGUGCAAAGCAACUGGUAGGCAUCGCUGUUCACAAAGAUGUAGGUGCCGAAACGGCCGAUGACGACCAGGCCGUUAUUGGCGUGCUGCUGGAGAGCGCCAUGCUGAUGGUGUUGAGCCAUUGAGCCACGCAAACAGAUUGUCGAAGUACACCUCGGGAACCUAAGCAAACAGAAUGUCGAAGUACACCUCGGGAACCUAAGGACCAUGAGAGACAGAGGUGUGGUCGUGGGCCGCUCGUACUGUGUGACGUUGGUGUCAGGGUUCCAGUAGUAGAGGUAGCUGGUGAUGUCGUCGACGAGCCCGCGCCAUGGCUUGGGCAGCGAUGGGUCUUUCAGCGCGUACCACGGGGCUACACGCCCGAACGAGCCACUACCGCGCGACAUCGGGUCCGAUUGGGUCUAGGAAACCCGCUGUGGCGCCCACAGCGUGGUGCGGAGGUGGCGCCCGGCGGCGUGGGGCAGAGGCGUCCUGAUGGUGCAGAGGGUGUCGCAACCUGCCGGCAUGGAGGUGGAGGCGGUAGCGGACCCAGAUCAGCGAGGCCUCUGGCGUGGAAGUGGCCUGGCGGGGGGCGCAGAGUGGGUCGCCGGGUUGCACACGAGGGAUCACGCGUCGGCGCUAGCGGGUCGGCUGUAUGCGCGCCGUUUGAGGUGUGGUGGUGAGUGACUACGUAGAUGUGGCGGACGCACGAUGGAGAUGUGGUUGCGGCUACGCGUUGCGGGCGAUCAGCGCAGGAACAGACGCGAUGGAAGGGCGGUGGGAAAAAAAUUGGCUCCGAAUACUAGAUUGUUUUGACUAGAGAUGGGAUUUGGGAAUUGAGGAAGGAUUGGAACAUGGGAUUGGAGGCUAGAACCUCGGCCGGGGGCCUUUCGCCCACGGCCGGGCAAGAAGUAUUAUCGUUGUUCUUGCUUGCCUUAGACUGAUACAGUCACUCUCCUUAUAUAGAGAGGGUACCUUGGACUCUACAUAACUUGGACUCUAAGCAAUAAAUCUAAUCUUCUAAUCUUAUUUCUAACUAUCCUUAUCUAAUCCCCUUGGAGGAUCCAUGGCUGCUGCUGCCACAUCCCCUCCAUGAGCCUCCUUAGGCCUUGACACGGGUAGUCGAAUUUAGGACAUGAGUGCUAUACAGACCAUCUAACCAACUUAGCUAGAGGCCUUUUAGCUUUACCAGACGGUCUUAUUCUACAAAAAAAUGAAUUUUAAUAUCUAAGGGUAGUGCCUGUAGUUUUUGCACCAUUUCGUUAUAAGAAUAUAAUAGAACCAUUACGUUGAGUUUGCUCAAGAAUCCAAUUUACAGCUUUUUCUCAUAGGUUGAAAAUUAUCUCUAAAUGUUUGCCCUUCUUAAGUGUACAUUAUAAAAGUAUUUUACUGUUUAUGCAAACAAUGCAGACUUGGCUCUUUGCAAGGGUUUAGGGUUUAGAGUAAGGGCAAUUCAUCUUGAAUACAAGUUACACCUGGACAGGAUAUAUAUCAUGCAUCUGAAUAAAUCUGAAAACACAUAUAACAGUUUAUUGCCGGUUCACUAACAUACGUGGAGAAAUGGUUAUACAAAUGUUUCUUCAAUGCCUCAUUUCUGAAAAACUGCAUUGUCGUGUGAUGGGUAUUAUUCUUGACGCAUCAAAUGCUAGGUGAUGAUUUGAUAACUAGUUAACUUUUUCUCCAGGGCCGGCUUAAAAUUGCAGAUUUUGGAUGGGCGGCUCGUUCAAAUGCUAAACGCCACACACUCUGUGGCACAAUCGAUUAUCUGGCACCAGAGAUGGUAGAGAAAAAAGCUCAUGACCAUGCUGUGGACAACUGGACAUUAGGAAUCCUGUGCUAUGAGUUCUUAUAUGGUUCACCUCCUUUUGAAGCUGAUGAACAGGAUGAUACCUUGAGAAGGUAUGGGCUGAUAGAUCUGUUUUUUCUCUCUUCCUGAUCUUCAUUCCUUAUCAUUUUGUGCCAUGUGAAUUUUGUGCAGGAUAGUUAGGGUGGAUUUGGCAUUCCCUUCAUCUCCUUGUGUAUCUUCAGAGGCUAAGGAUCUCAUUUCCAAGGUGACAUCUAAAAGUAGUGGUUAUAUAAGAGAUUAAUCAAAAGUGAUGGGUGUUGCCUGAACUAUUGAUUGUUAAGUGUGAUUGUGUAUGCAGCUUCUAGUUAAGGAUUCAAGCAAGAGGCUUUGCCUUGAAGACAUCAUGAAGCAUCCAUGGAUAAAGAAGAAUGCAGACCCUUCAGGCAGUUGCAUUAAGCAAAAAGAUGUCACAAGAUCAAAGGUAAAACGAUAAGUGAAUAUGCAAGAUAUCUUCUGAGCCAUGGUGUUUAGUGUUCUUGUUCCUUGGAGAUAACCAUGGUGUUUAGUGUAAGUAGAAGCCAGCCUAUGUACUGUGAUCUUAGUUAUGGACCAUGUGUCGAAGUUGCUAAACUUCUGUUGCCUGCCUCAUCUGGGGAGGCAAUUAAUCUUAGCUUUUGUGUGGAUACAGUAGUUCCAUAUUUUUCAGCCCCUCUGUGAUAUAUAGAUGUUUGGCGGGUGGGCGCUUUUAUUUUGCUAUUAUGGACUCAUUGACAUUGUGCUUCGGUAAAGAAAUUUGGGCUUACCGUUGUAAAAAAAACACACUGGUGUUAUCUGAUUACUAUGCUGAGUAUGAAAAAAAUAUAAGUUAAUUUUAUUUUGGCCUCAUUGGCAUGGUAUUCUUGCUUAGCUUCACAUGUCUAUUUUUUAUCAUAUAGUUUGCUCUCAAAUGCAAAUAAUAAAACUAUGGAUUACACUCACAAGAAUAAGUAGCUAGUAUAUAUUUGAAUGUGAUAAAACACUUCAAUCCCAGCUCAGCUACUUGGUCUGGAUAAAAGGACGACUUUUUCCUUUUAGUUUCUGAUCAAUCUGCAUGUUCUUCUAGACGAGAAGGGCACCUUUUAGUUAUCAGAAAUAGAUAUAAUGUGUAAUAUCAGUACGACAUUCACAGCUAAUUUGGUUUUCUCUACAGCUUCUGUAAUAUCAGUACAACCUGCUUGCCAGUGGGCAAGAAUCUUCUGAUGUGGUGCCAAACUCGUCACUACUGGAGGACAAAUAUGAUGACAUGUUGUAGUUUUAAGUUCCGAUAGUUCUGGAGUGGAUUGGUGUGUGUCCCUGCAAGCUUUCUCCUACAGGCUGGAGUUCUAGUUCUGAUGCAGCGUUUGUGUUUCCCUUUUGAACUGAGUCGUGAAAACCAAUGUUCACUGGAGAGGAAUGUAGUUUUCUACUGAGUUGUUGAACCUUCGCAAAUUGGAGGGUCAAUGGUCUGUGGAGACUGGAGAGGAACGUGGCUUUCGCUGUGGCGAUCGUAUUUUGUAAUUGUCGAAUCUGCAGUAUUUUGGCCUUUAGCAAUGA